rnacentral:lncRNA from 1 species
CCAUCUUUAUAUACCUUUGAUUUUCUUUUUAUUUCUUUUGACAACAUUAUUUGGCAAAAUAAGAUAAUUCAUCCUAUGUCACAACUUGCAAUAUUUAAAAGGGUAUAGGAUAUGGUCUGCUAUUUCCUUUUCCAUGACCACACACGCUUAUGGAAGCAGGCAACAAAGACUAUGUCAACUAAGUACUUAAGCCAAAAAACGUACGGUCAUUGGUCUAUAAAUAGGCAAAUGCUAGACAUCUUAGUUCUAUCCAAUCAUAUUCACUUCUAUUUCAACACUGCAUUAACAAUUUAUAGACUAGCAAUAUGUCAAGAAUCUUGCACAAGAUUGAAGAGAAGCUACAUAUACACCACCACAAACUUGGAAAUGAUCCAGCAGCAGCUCAAAACAAGCCAGAAGAGACUCAUGAGGUUAAUGAUGAAAGCAAUGUAGAUAAGAAAGAGGAUAUUGAUGAUCAUGAUAAGAAGAAGAAUUUGGUGAAAAAAGUUGCUGGUAAAAUCGCGAAAAAAUUGUUACAUGGUCACCACAAAAAAUCCGGAGAGGAAGGCUAUGAAGGAGAAGAGGAGGAGGAGGAGGAGGGGGAGGAAGGAGAAGAAAUAGAAGAGGAAGAAGGAGAAGGAGGUGGUUUUGAAUUUGAACUCAAUUUUGACUUUUGAAUUUUUAUUACUAAGAUUUAGGUAUCAACUCAAUUGUUGUGUGCCUUUAUAUAUAUGUACAUGUCUGUUCAUUGAUUUAAGAGAAUAUCUGUAGUUCUUCAGAUACCUCUCAACGGGUGGUUUGAAAUUUGUAAUAUGUUACCGUCUUUGGUUUUAUGUGAAUGUAAACAUAUAGCUCUUUCCAUUUGAAAAAUACUUUUAUUUAUCCCAAUUUAAGUGUCUUAUUGUGUGUCCCAAACAAAAUAUAUCUCCUUUUAUUUUUAUUUUUAUGUUUAGUAGGUUUUGCAAUUUCAACAUUUACAUGAUAAAUUUAAUGACAACAAGAUUUAAAGGACUACACACAUUUUAAACUAAAAUUACAAGAUUUUAAGAUUUCUUUUUGUCUUUAAAUUCCGUAUCAAGUCAAACUAAGACACUGAAAUUGAAAUAGAACAAUAAAGCACAUUCUUCCGCAGUUAGUUAAGAUUCCUCGACCGGUAAACUUUGUAUCCACUGCAGUUAAACUCAAAUAUAAAUAAAUUGGAACUGUGAUUAUAACAAAUGAACACCAAGACCGUAGAAAAAAUGGCUUCUCCUCAUGUUUUUCUUUUCCUUUCAUGUCCAAAAGGCCAUAUGAUCUAUUGAAGUCAGUCUGUUCGUUAGUUAUGUGAUAUGGUUAAUGGUGAUUGGAAUUAGCUUGGGUUAUAACUAAUUGUGAUUUGUAGUAAUGAGCUGGAUAUAAUUGUCAACUCAACAGACGACUAUAUGUGUCUGAAUUUGUACACAACAUUCUUUCUGAAUCAAUUGAACAUACUAAUUUCUUCUCCUCCUAUUCUGUCUCAAUUUCAUUGCUUUCGAUCUCAAUGGCUGCUAAGAAAAUCACCAACGAACACACAUUCUCUAGUUGAUACACAAUAUUAAUAAGUAGGAAAAUUGUAAAAAGUUUCAGAAGUUAGUUAACACUGGAAAGCUAUAGUGUAGUUAGUUACUAAGCAACUAAAGUUAGUUAAGUAGUUAUAACUAACUCAAGUAGCCUAGUCAAUGGAUAGUGGAUCAUGAGCUCUAUAUAGACAUGUAAUUCAUUCAUUUUCGUAUAGAUAUACAAACAUUAAUUCUUCUUUCCCAAAAUCUCUCUCUCUUUCUUUGUUUUCUCAAUUCUCAUUCUCAUUAACUGUUUUCUCGAGUUAGUUACUCCUGAAGCAGUAAUUUCGAUCCCCGAGUUCAUUCGAACUUUUGCAAUCGAGUAAAAGUUAGUAUCAUUGGUAGGGCUGUGCAUAUUUUGGUUAAAACCGAAAAAUCGAACCAAAAUUUAAAUUUGAUUUCGUUUUUUCGGUUUGGUUUCAGUUUCCAAUUUAUAAAUUUCGGUUAAACGGUUCGGCUUUUAAUUUUUUUUUUUAAAAAUAAAAUUCGGUUAAACCAAAAAUCCGAAAAUCCAAAAUUAUAUUAAUAACAUAUAUAUAUAUAUAUAUAUAUAUAUAUAUUAUUAAUUUAUUAUAUAUAAAAUAUAAUAUAUUUAAUAUAUAAAUAAUAAAUUAAUAAAUGUAUAAUAAGUUUGUUAUAACCCUACUUCUCUAAAUCUAAAUCAUAUCAGAUAUCAGUAUAUCACAAUCCAAAGCAGCCAUUUUUAUCACUUUUCAGUUUUCACAGAACUUUCUUUACAAAUUACAACCAGUCAUCGACACCGGAGGCGGACGAUGGACCGCGGGUGACAACGACGCAGACUCUCUUUGUUUACAGCGAUACCGGAGGUGGCGAUCUGUGACUGUGGUGUAAUUGGUGUUUGUGUUUUUUUACCAGUGAGUCGGUGACUGACUAACUGAGGUCUUCAAAAUAUCGGCUGGUGGCAGGUGAUAUUCCGGCAAUCAAACCCUUUUUUCGAUUAUUUAUUCCGACGAUUAGUCAGCCUUCAAAAUAUGUCUAAUGUUGAUAUUUUUUUUAUUGAUGAUUUUCAUUUAACUUGAUAGUUUAAGGUUAAAGGCUGAGAACUAAUAAACUAAUUAUUUUGUUUUCGCAGAUUGGAAAUAGGGCAAGUGAAGAUGGAGCAUCUAAUGAAAAUAUUUCAAUUUCAUCUCCAAAUGAAGUUGAAACUGCAGUUGAAUAUGAACAAUCAAAAAAAAGAAAGCUCAUGGAACCGAGGGCAAUAUUUUGACAAAAUUAUUGAUGGAAAAACCGGAGCUUAGAAAGAAAAAUGUAAGUAUUGUGAAAAAUUUAUGCUGCUGCUUCAAGUGCUAGUGGUACUUCAACGAUAAAUAAUCACAUGCUAAAAUUAUGUCCUUACCGCCCUAAUCUCCCUAAUGUUGGUGUGAAAGAGAAAGGCAGCCAAACAAAAUUAGCUUUUCUACCAUCUUCUGCGGAUGAAAAGGGUGGGGUAUUAGGUACUUGAACAUUUGAUCAAGGACGAAGUAGGAAAGCUUUAGCUCAAAUGAUAGUUGUUGAUGAGUUACCGUUUAGUUUUGUUGAAAAAGAAGGUUUUAGAAAUUUCAUGAGAGUCACAGCCCCGCACUUUCAUAUUCCUUCUCGUAGAACAUUGACAAGAGAUUGUUAUUAGUUCUACAAUGAAAAGAAACUAGUUUUGAAAAAGGUUUUCAAAGAAGUACGUUCAAAAGUUUGUCUUAUGACAGAUACUUGGACGUCUAUACAAAAGAUUAACUACAUGUGUCUAACAACUCACUUUAUAGAUACAAAUUGAAAAUUGCAUAAAAGAGUAAUAAAUUUCUAUCCAAUUUCUAGUCAUAAAGGUGUUGCUAUGGCUGCUUUCAUUACUAAUUACUUGCUUGAAUGGGGGUUGGAUACUAUAUAUAGUAUAACAGUUGAUAAUGCUAGUUCCAACGAUGUUACAAUGAUAGAAAUGUCUAAAAAAUUAAAUAAUUGGGGAACUAACAUAAUGGAGGGUCAACAUCUUUAUGUGAGGUGUAUGACACAUAUUCUUAAUCUUAUUGUGUAAGAUGGGUUAAAGGAAAUUGAUAAGUCUAUCAAGAGAGUGAGAUAAGUUGUGAAGUAUGUUAAACAAUCUACCGCGCAAGUUAAAAAGUUCAAAGAAUGUUGUGAAUCUCAAUUGAUAACUUAUAAGAAAUCUUUAUGUUUAGAUGUUCCUACUCGAUGGAACUCUACAUACUUGAUGCUUGAAACAGCACAACAUUUUGAGCUUGCAUUUGAAAGAUAUAGUUUCUAUGAUAAUGGUUUCUUGGAUUAUCUCCGUACCUCUCCUUGUGAAGAUGAAACUAGGACAGACACCUUUGUAAGUGAGGACUGGGAAAAUCUGAGGAUGAUGGUAAAAUUUUUGAAAACUUUUUAUGAUUUUACUUUGAAAGUUUCUAGUUCAAAAUAUGUUACUACAAAUGUACAUUUUGUGGAAAUUGCUGAGCUUGAUCUGAUUUUGAAAGAGAUGAUAGAAAAUGAAGAUUCUAAUUUGAAAAAAAUGUCAUGAAAUAUGAGGGAAAAUUUUAGAAAGUAUUGAGGUACUCCGGAGAAAAUAAACAAAAUGAUCUUUAUUUCAUCUGUGUUGGAUCCCCGCAACAAACUUGAAUAUGUUCCUUUUGCAAUUGUGGACAUGUUUGGAAAAAAAAUUGAGGAAAAGUUGUCCGAUUCAGUAGAGUCAUAUAUGAAAGCCUUGUCUAAGCAUUAUGUUAAGAAAUAAAAAAACUCUUCAUCUUCAUCCACUUCUUCUUAUUCUGGGAAUUCUUCAUCCAUAAGUGGUUAUGGAAACUUUCAAAGAAGAGAAAUAAUGAGAACAAAAUAAUAUUUUGAGAAACAUAAAGAAAUUAGUGGAGGUUUAAGCAAUAAAUCUGGGUUGGAAAAAUAUCUUGCUGAAGAAAUUGAGCCAGAUUUGGAACAAUUUGAUAUAUUAGGGCGGUGGAAAGUUAAUGAGCCUAGAUUUCCCAUUCUCGCUGAGAUGGCUCGUGAUGUGUUAGCCAUUCCCAUUUCCAGUGUCGCAUCUGAAUGUGCAUUUAGCACGGGAGGUCGGGUUAUUGAUCCCUUUAGGAGUUUAUUAACUCCUAAACUAGUGCAAUCUCUUAUUUGUCUUAAAUAUUGGCUUAGAAGUGAAUCUACUCCAAUUAAUAUCAAGGAAGAUCUAGAGUAUCUUGAGCAACUUGAAGUUGGUAAGAAUUUUAUAAUUUUGUAUUCAUUAUAUUAAAAAAAAUUCUUAGUUAUAUUUCACAUCAACUAACAAGUGUCUUAUAUUUUUUCAGAAAUGGCUUGUAGUAGCACUGAGUCUAGCAUUGUUGAUGUGUAGUUGUCAAUAUACAAAUGUGAAUUGUAGGCAAGUUUGUUUUUGGAUUCUUCUUCUACUACUUCUACUAUUUUCUUGAUUUAAUGAGUUAUGGACUAUGAGUUUUUUCUCUCAGUUGUACACUUCUUAGGAUGUGGAUGAUCUAUAAUGUAUUGUAUUGUGUUUUGCUGAUCUGUAGAAGUUUUACGAGUCGUUUGAUAAAGUGUUCGAUAGGAAAUAGAUUGUGUCUAAAGAGGAGUAUUCAGGCGAGUUUAUGGCAUUUUCUUUUUAACAUGGUAGUUUAUGGCAUUUGCUUAAUUUUACAUUUGGAAAACUGUUAAGCAGUUUUUAGAAUGAAAAUGAAUACUGCAUCAUCCAAGAAACUCCGUAUGUUAGUCCCAACAAUGAUAUUGCUCGUUACCAUAGAAAACUUGAUGCACACGUAACAAGUAUACUGGAGUCUGUUAGUCCCAUUAAUCACAUUUCUCAUAGAGAACUUGAUGCACAUGCUGCAGCUACACUGGAAUUUGAUACGAACUCCUUCUUGGUUUCAUACAUUCCCCAAGACGAGGGUUACUGGAAUUCUUGGCACUUUUAUUUGCGCUAAUGUUGCAACGUCCUUGUUUUUGCAGGGUUGAACAUGAGAUCCAUGAUUUUUAUAGCUAUAUUUUUGUCGAUAUAGACUUCAACAAUGUCUAGAACACUUCUGUGGCUGCUGAUCUUUUUUUUGCGAGAUGGAUCCACUUAUCGCUAUUGUUUUUUAGUACAUUUUCACUUUCUUUAGAAGAAUGGUACUUUACAGUAACUUUAGUUUAAUUGAUGUAAUAUUUUGCACUAUAGGUAUACAUAUUCUCAAUGACUCUCCUUUCGACGUUUUGUUUUAAUCCAAACUAAGGUUCUCUUUCAGUGUUGGUUGCGUUGGUUUAAGUUAGUGCUGCUUUUCUAUUCUGUUGGUGAGCAGGUCUUUAUCAUUCUUGUUCUAUGAUUAUCUAGACAGUGCACGGUCUGUGACAACUCUACAACAAAAUGAAGUUUAAUAAUGUUUAAGCUGUUAGAGCAUAGACUGGGGGUAAUAUAACUCCGGUUGCCAGUAGCAGGAAAACUUUGUUGCCUUUGUGAUAUGGCUUUGUUCCCUUUAAGCAAUUUGCAAAAUUGUUGGUACAUCCAUUCAGAGAAAUUUAUGAGUUUUGUGUUUGUUUUGUGGACAGGACUGUUUAUGAAAAUUUAUAUAUAAUAAUCAAUGACGUUAUGUAUUAUGUUAAGCUAUGAUUAUUUCAUUUCGUCAUUUAUGCUGAGUUAUUUAUAGUUAUUUAUAUUUGAGAAUGAAAAAUAGAUUUGAAAAAAAUUAUUUUUCCUAAAAAAAUCAUUAAUUUUAAAUGUUCAGUUAUGAAAAAGGGAGACUCUCUACUUUAAUAUUUCAAACCGAAAUAAAAAUCCAAAAUAAUCUAACCGAAUUUGUAGAAAUCAAACCAAACUGAUUUUAUUUUAUUUUGGUUAUGGUUAUCAUUUUUGUCAAUCUAAAAACAGAUAAACUGAAACCGAUAUAAAAUAAUCAGACCGAAACGACCGAACGCCCACCCCUAAUUAUUGGUAUCAAAGCCAAUCAAAUUCUUGGAAAUCAUGAUGAAAACAACUCGAUCCAUUGAUAACUCUCCAGCUGACAUAGGAGAAAUAAGGGAUAUACUGCAGAAAUUAUCUACAGAUGUGAGCAAUUUGGCAGGGGAAGUUACUACCUUGAAGAGGUUGGAUCAGGUGGUAAUGGAAUUAAAGGAUUAUUUGGAGAAUUUCAUAGAGAAUAGGAGAGAUAAAUUUCCAUUAUAUCAAGCCGAACCAUCGAGGUUUAGGCAAUUAGUUGAGAGAGAGCACAGAGAUCAAAGCCCUGGCAGUUAUCACAAUUCCCAUUCCCAGUUCUCGAAGUAGUCACGCAUGGAGUUUUUGAGGUUUUCAGGGGAUGAUUUACGUUCUUGGUUGUUCAAGAUUGAACAAUUUUUUUCAAUGGAAAAUGUACCUGCUUCUGAGAAAAUUACCAUAGCCACACUAUAUCUGGAAGGAGAAGCAAUUCAGUGGCAUCUAUCCUUCAUAAGGUAUCGACAGUACCUUCAACCUAUUGGAUGGAAUGAGUAUGUGAUGGCAUUGGUGGAGAGGUUUGGAUCUAACUUUGAUGAUCCUAUGGAGGAAUAGAAGAAGGUUAAGCAAGUUGGGACUAUCAAAGAGUAUCAGGAUGUGUUUGAAAGGCAUCUUACAAGGGUGAAUUUGUCAGAAAAAAUGCCAUUAGCUGCUACAUUGGGGGUUUGACACCUCAGCUUAACAUUGCUGUUAAGAUUACCAACCCUACUACCUUAUCUCAAGUUUACAGAAGUGCAAGACUGCAAGAAGCAUACUUGAAUGCUGUUAAACCACCUGUAAGUUCACAUCAGGUGUUUAAUUCAAGAAAGAUAGGAGAUCAAAAACCUUUUAAUAAUAAGCCUUUACUACUUACUCCUAACAUCACCCAAGGAAACUAUAAUAAGAAUCUGAACAGGAGAAGGUUGAGCUUGGAAGAAAUUAAUGAGAAGAGGGCAAAAGGAUUAUGUUAUUUUUGUAAUGAAAAAUGUACUAUGGGCCAUAAAUGUAAGACUACUAAGCAAUUGUACUUGUUAGAGUUAGAAGAAGAGGAUAAAACAGAAGAUGGAAUGUCUGAAACAGAGGUGGAAUUGCAUGAAGAUGGGGAGAGCAAGAGUGAGUUGUCUCAACAUAUUGAGCACAUGGAGAUUUCAAUACAUGCCUUAAAUGGUUAUUUAGGUUUUAGGACACUUAAGGUGACUGUAUAUCAUUCCAAAAAGGGGUUGCAUAUAUUGAUAGACACAGAAAGUUCUCAUAACUUCAUAGAUCCUGAUUUAGUACAACAAUUAGGUUCUUCGGUCAGAUCUACCAUUCCUCAAAUGGUUGCUGCAACAAAUGAAAGUAUGAAGCUAGAUAAAAUGAUCACUAUUACUUGGUUAUUACAAGGAGCUGAAUUUUCAGCAGAUUUUCUGCUAUUUCCUUUGGGUUCAUGUGGUGUAGUAUUAGGGGUUUAGUGGUUGUUGACCUUAGGAGAUAACCAGAUAAACUUCAGGAAUUUGACCAUGGAAUUCUUGUACAAGGGAGGGAAACAUCUGCUAAGAGGUGCUAGGAACCAGGUGCAGACUUCUGGAGCUAGUAAAUUAGCUAAAUACUCAGGUAACCAAUCUUAACUUGUAUGAUUCAAGUCAUGCCUAUGGGGAGUGAACAAAUGAAGGGUCACCCAACAUUACUGGAGGAAGAUAAAACUGAAGGUGAUCAAACUUUAUUGAAUCUGUUAUCAGAGUUUCAAGGAUUGUUUGAGGAACCUACUGGCUUACCACCUCAUAGGGGAGUAUUUGAUCAUAGAAUUGUAUUGCAGGGGGGGACUGAGCCUAUGAAUAAGAGGCCAUAUAGAUAUCCUUCUUGGAAGGAUAUUAUUGAAGGUUUGGUACAACAGAUGUUAGACCAAGGGAUCAUACAACCUAGUUGUAGUCCGUUUGCAUCCCCAGUGAUCUUAGUGGGCAAGAAAGAUGGUACCGAGAGGUUGCAAUACAAAAAAAGAGUCAAAUUGCAGGGGUUAAUUUUGCAGUUUGCGGGGGUUAAUGUAAUUGCGGGGGUUCCCAAAACCACCGGAAUACGGGCCAUCACAAACGAGUUGCGACAGUUUUUUUUCCGACCCCCAUAAUUAAUUUGCGGGGGUUAUUUUGCAGUGGUGACAACCCCCAUAAUUAAUUUGCGGCGGUUAUUGACCCCGCAAUUCUAAAUUUAAUUCUUUUAUAAUAAAUUUUUAUUUAAAAACUUGCGGGGGUUAAAACCUCCACAAUUAUUUUUUUUAAAAAAAAAUUAAUGGGACCCAUCAAUUUUCAAUAACAAAUUAUAAAUUCUAAUUUUAGCUGAAAUUUAAUUGUUCCUUUAGGCAUAACCUACAAUUCAAUAUUUAUUUAAUUCAUAUAUUUGUCACGCCCCAAAAUCCCAUCGGGCCGGACUGGCACCCGAAGCCGAGAAGGCCCGGGAGAACCCGUUCAAAUACCUGUACUUUCACUUACAUGUCACCAAAAAAUUGGACAACACUUCAUUGCAUAUAGAAAGGUUUAAUUACCUGUAUCAGCACAACACGCACAAAUAUAAAUAUAUAUAAUACUUGGCCGUCGGGGCCACCACAUAUACAAAUAUAACGUUACUAUAUAAACUUCCAUGACUUUACCCUUCCUUAUGUCUACAAAGCCUCUAGGAUAUACAUGACAUAACUAGGGUCGGGACAAACCCCCGCCCACACGUGACUCAUGUACAAUAACAAAACAUAAGGAACCGACUCGGAAAGCUCCGAAGCAAACUGGAGCUCACCAACAAUAGCUGUAUGACCUGGCUCCUACUUGUGCGGUGUAUGAGUUGAGGUACCUGUGCCUGCAGCAUGAAAUGCAGGUCCCCCGUGAGGGACGUCAGUACGAAAUAUGUACUGAGUAUGUAAAGCUGUAAAUAAUCACAUAUGAUAUAGGAGCUCAAUAGAAAUCAGAAACAAGUGAAUAAGUCGUAAUAGGAGUGGACCACACUUACUAGAACUUGUGACAACCUGUACAUUGUAUUUAUUCAAUCACUUUACCUUCGUUCUUAUCGUCUUUGUAAUCAUUACUGUACUGUACUGUGACCAUUAGGAUGCCUCCAGUACAUAUCAACUGGGAUCGACCCAUGCUAGGCUUAUGCCCCUGGGAUACCACCCAUAAACACAUGAAAUAGGGAUCGACCCAUGCUAGGCUUAUGCCCCUGGGAUACCACCCGAUAAGAGAGAACUUUCAUCACUUAGUUCAAUUAAUCUUUGAGAUUGUUAUUUCGGUCGUCACCACAUUUUUGAUACCUUGAAACAAUGAUACAUCAAUAGGAACCAAGUAAUAGACCUUCUAUACAAUAACGAUGUAAUAAGGACUCAUUGGUACAUCAACAAUAUGUUUCAGAAUCAUCAAUAUCACAACAAUGAAAUAAGAGCCUUUUGGUAUAUCAAUGAACAUUUUGACACUUUAUAGGAUGGAAACAACUUCGUUGGUAACGUAGAACAAUACAUGUUUUUGGACAACCUCGGAAUCUUACUUGAUGGAACAUUGGUGUUUUCAUGCCAAAGAACAUUGUUAGAGUAUGCUUUACAUACCUCGUUGUAGAUUCAGAUACCAAUUCAACACAACUUCCCGCCUUUACAAAUCACUUAUCUACAAUGAAAUGUUUGGCAUCUAGUAUUAGCAACCCAACACCACAAUUCUCUUCCAUAAUUCCAUACUACCAAUAUUUGCAAAACAUUCCAAAAACCAACUUGAACAAUAGGUUUAUGUGUGUAUAUGUAUAUAAUCAUCAUCUCAAUACCACAUCAUCAAUACCACAUCAUCACCCCAAAUUCCUUCACAAUUUAACAUAAUCCAACCAUGCACAAGAAUAAUCCAACAUCAUUUCCAAUCAUCUUUCAACAACAAUCAAAUAACAUACUUCUUAUGCUCACAUGCAUAUAUAUAUAUAUAUACAUAUCCAUAUAAAUAACACCAACAUAAUUUACAUCCUUACCAAAAAAAAUGGCCCUUUUGAUUUCGAAGUCCUGUUGGCACAAAUAAGGGGUGCUUCUCGAAGCCCUUGAGACGGUGAACACAACUACGGAAUCAAUUUGGAUUUUCUACGGUUGAAUCACAAGAUAAUUGGAGUUGAACUUAGGCUAGGGUUUCUUAUUCUUCAAUGAUUUGGAUGAUAAAUGGUGGAUAUAAGGCUAAGUAUAUGUAUAUAAUGACCAAUUUUCGUCCAUGAGGUGAUGGAAAAUGACCAUAUUGCCCUUAAAAAUUUAAGUAAAUCCGAAUCUGUCCAUGGUGGACUGUUUUGAUAGGCUAAAGUAAAUCGGCCAUAACUCUUUGCUCCGAUAUCGGAUUUGGGUGAAAUUGGUAUCGUUAGAAAGAUAAUUCAAAGGUAUUUCAUUUAAUAUAAAUUAAUCCACCCAGUUCGUCCUGUACAAGUAGUUAUGAUCGUUUGAAGUUGACCCUAAAAAUCUGUUUUGAGAGGCUGAAGUAAAACGAGUAUAACUCCUUACUCAGAUGUUGGAUUUGGAUGAAACCAAUUUCAUUGGAAAGAAGACUCAAAGAUCUUUCUUUUGAUAUAUGGUAGCUCAACCAGUUCAUUAUAUUGAGGGAGUUAUGAUCGUUCAAAGUUGACCCAAAAAACUGGCAGGCCUCAGUAGUUUUCCUGCACAUUUACUGUUCACAUCCCGGCCACCGUUUUAAAGUUUCGAACGAGCUCGCUUAUAUCCGAAACUUAUCCGUUUUUGGAAAUCUUUAUAUCGUUGGAAAGCUUAUUCAAUAACCUUCGUAUGGAACCAUCGACGGGAAAAUUCCGAUAUAAAUAAAGUCGAUUCCUAUACACCUAUAAUCAAACUAUACACUUGAAACCAUCUCAAAAUAAUCAAUACUCAUACUUAAACUCCAAACUACACACUUGAAACCAUCUCAAAAUAAUCAAUACUCAUACUUAAACUCAUAUAUACCUAACUUAGGAUCAAUACAUAUACUCCAACACAUAUAACAAUGACUAAUGCACGUAAUUAAGUACGGGGUGUUACAAUAUCAUUAACACAAUAUUAUAAUUCACAAGCAUCUCAAAAAUACAUUGAACAUUAAACUUCAAAAAUUAAAAUUUCAACAUUAGUAUCUUCAAACUUCAAAUUUUCAACAUUAACUAGUAUCUUUAAAUUUCAAAAUCAAAUUUAAACACAAAACCUUCAAUAUUCUAAGAUUCGCUCCAACCACACAAUUACAUCAUCAUAAUUGAAUAUUCAAGACAAUUUACAACAAAAUCAAUGACUGUCAGUAAGAUCACUAUCAUCGCGUGGUCUUCUAGCAUCCAUGGGCGAAAUGAGUCCACUAGCCACAUCAGUUGGCUACAUAAAAAUGCAAAGUAUAAAACCAAUCAAAUAAACUUUCAGUCCUUAUUAUAUUUAUGUCUACGUACAUCUAAAAAACAUCAUGAUAAAUAUAAAUAGAUCAAUCACAAGUUCACAAUUUCAAGUAACUACACUUAAUCAUUUUCAAGUCAUUACACUUAAUAAUUUUUCAAUAACUUAUUCACUAAUACACAUUUCAAGUCACAACACUCAAACCAUUUUCAAAUAGCUAAUUGAUAUUUCAAGUCACUAUACUUAACCAUUUCGAAGUAACUACACUUAAUUAUUUUCAAGCCACUAAUACACAUUUCAAAUCACUACACUUAACCAUUUUUAAAUAACUAGUAAACAUUUCAAGUCACUACCCUUAACCAUUUUCAAAUAACUAAUUCACAUUGCAAGUCACUACACUUAACCAUUUUCAAAACACUACACUCAACCAUUUUUAACUCUCUAGCUCACAUUUCAAAUGACUAAACCUAACCCUUGUCAAGUCAUGAAUUCAGAUUUCAAGUGCCAACACUAAAUCAAUUUCAAGUCAUGAAUUCACAUUAGUGAUUACGCUUUACUAAUUUCAAAACACAAGUUCAUCUUUCAAGUUGCUAAUUCACUUCUCAAGUGACUACACUUGAUCAUUUUGAAGUCACUAGUACACAUUUCAAGUCACUAGUCACCUUUUCCUAUUUUUGUUUUGAUUUUCUCACUCUUUAAGAAUUUGAUAACAAUCAGAAACAAAAAUUUAUGUUUUCGAUUCUAAAUUGUAGGUUACUUUCCACUAUAAUCCUUUUAGUUAUUAUUAAAUUACUCUCCUAAAAAAUGUGAAGUAUUUAAGAACCUCAUUUCAAGAAAUUUCUUGUGUCUCUUGAAAAAUGAACAAUUCAUUUAUUUUGAAACGGAGAAAGUACAUAUUUUGGGAUGACUUAUAAUUAGGGAUAAAACUUUCGAUAUGUAUCAUAAUUAGAGAUCAAACCUCCUAUAUUUUCGUUGUUUUCCCUUACAAAAACCAAAUGUCUAUGAAAAGUAUUCCUCCCAAAAUAACUUUAAUAUAGCUGUGUAAGUAUUGAACUAGAGAAAAUUGCUCAAGUGGAACAUCUACGGGAUAAUGUUCCCAUUGGUCUUAAUGAUUAUUAUUAUUAUAACUAUUAUUAUUAUUAUAUUCAUCACAUUUAGUUGUUAAUUAAUCUUUUCUUUCCUGUUUAGUCAUGGUCAGAUGACUUUGUCAGAGAUAUGUGACUGGACUUUCAUUUCCAUUUAUAAUAUUAAUUAAUUAUGCUCAAUCAUUGAUUCUCUAUGGAUGAAGACGACUUUGAAUUAGUAUUUUUUGUAAUUUUGGACCAUCAUUUAUAUGACUAUUUAUUCAUAGAUUUAUGUUAAUAAUAGUUACGUUGUAGCUUAAGAGAAUUAACAAACCAUCAACCCCACAUACAUCAUGAUUCUUUUAUCGAAUUAAGUGAUUAUUUGUUUAUAUAUGAUAUUCUUUUUUUUUAUUUUUUAUGUCUACCAUCUACCUAGACUUCACAUUAAGAAUUUGAUAACAAUCAGAAACAAAAAUUUUUGUCCAGAAACUAAUACCUCGUCCUUCUCCGCAACACUAUUAAAACACACUACAAGGUAUCCAUCAAGGUGGAAGAACACCUUGGACUUCUGAAAAACUACCAUUGACUAGCGAUAAACCUUUCAAUAUCUCGUAUAAAAGUGGUAUUGCCCACAACAUACAUUAUGAUGGCCUUCAUCCAUACAGCAUAUCAGAUUCCACAUCUACAUCAUAUAACUAAACUACAACCUGUCCCUCCUACAUCAGAGGCAGAAUGUACUUGAGACUUAUACCCUUGGCUGCUAACUUGUUUGCAUCAAACUACCCAACCCAAGCUUAAUACUAAGAACGACAAUAAAUAGCAAAGACCAUAGCUUAAUACUAAAAAUGACAACAAAUAGGACUGAUUAUAUGGAGCAACAGUGUAGUGCUGGUAAGAAAGGAUACCUAGCAAACAGAGAGGGCAGUUGCUCGUGCCCGAUCCAGGGGAGAUGUAUAGAUGAAAUUGAAAUGAAUCCCUUAGGAAUUUGCCCGAUCCAGUGGCUGGUGAUGGAGGUGAGGUCGGCGGCCAUGGCUGGUGCAGCGGCGGUGCUGGCAAGGGAAGGGCGACAGAGAAGGCGCUAACGGAGGAGAGGGACGACCGGCGAUGAAAAAGGCAGCGUUGAUGAUUUUGUCAUAGGGUUUUUGAGAGAGGAGAGAGAUAGAGAGAGAAAGAGGAGAAAUGAGAGAGGGGGUGGAGGCUAUUGUGAAGAGAUUAGGGUUUGAGGGUUGAUUUUUGUCUUUAAAAGGAAAGAGAAAGGCUUUUGAUCUCAGUCGUUGAAUCAAUUUUGAUCAACGACUGAGAUUUAAUAGUUUAAGAAUUGGGUUAGAAUUGAGAAUAAAAAAUAGAUUGAGUUUGAUUUAGGCUAUAAUUGUAAUAAAGUAAAUAUUAGGCUAAAAUCGUAAGAAAUUGUGAAUAAAUUAGGUUAAAAGGGGAAUAAAUUAGGCAAAGUGAUCUUAAUUUAGGUUGUUAUUUAAAUAGUAGUAGGAAUAAAAAUAAUAAUAAAUAAUAUAUAAUAACAAUAAACCAUAAAUAAUUAUAAGUAAUAAAUAAUAAUAAUAAUAAAUAAUAAUAAGAGUUAUAUAUAUGAUAACAGUAAAUAACAAUAACUUUAUCGUUACAUGCUUAAUAUAAAAAAUAAGCUACAAACAUGGCGUUACAUUCUUGCAAAUCCCCCUUUUUUAACUCGCCCAAAAAAUAAAGAAAUUAUAUGGUUGCAAAUCCUCUUUUUUUAAUCACUGCGUAAUUUUUUGUGGUUGACGGUAGCCAGGGUGAUGCUUCGUCUCCCAGUUCAACUUCGAAGCAACUCUUUCAUGACAAGUAAAAUAUUCCUCGAGUUUCUCGACAAGCUCUGUUGCUGUUGGCACAGAUAAGAUGAUUUGGCGAGCAUUGGGACUGAUGAAGCCUUCUUCCACAACUUUGUCAAUAAAUGACAAUAAUGAAUUGUAAUAUCCAUCCACAUCAGCAAUCCUACUGGCUUAUCGUGGAUGCCAAGUUGUGACCAACUAAUUACUUCAAGUAGCUCAUCAAGUGUGCCAUAACCACCCGGUAAAGAAAUAAAAGUAUCAGAGUGCCUAGCCAUUUUUGCUUUUCUUUGAUGCAUAUCUGUUGGGCUCCCAACGAUCAUAUAUCUGUUGGGCCCAACGGCUAUUUUUUAAUUAAAUUCGAUUUAAAAAAAAUUCUAUAAAUAUUUUUUAAAUAUAUAUUUUUUAAAAAAUCUACCACAAAUGGUCGCUUUUUUAAAAAUAAAUUAAAAAAAUUAAAAUAUAAAAGCGACAAAUAAUUUUUGGUUAAUUUCGAUUGAGUCCAAUUAAACUCAAUUGAGUAUAAAUGACUAGAAUUUAAAUAAAUUCUUUGUAUUCUACAAAUAAUUUUUGGUUAAUUAAUUUUUGAAUGUGUAUUAUUUAUUUUUAACAAAAGUGACACUGUCCGUCGCUUUUUGUAAAAAUACAGAAAAAUAAAAAUAAUUUAAAAUUGCGAUGAAUAGAGGGGGUUUCAAUCCCCGCAAAUAUAUUCGAUGAAUAUCGGGGGUUUUGGUUAAAACCCCCGGCAAAUUUAUAAAUUUUAGCGGCAAGUUUUUAACCCCCGCAAUUCAUAUAAUUUUACGGGGGUUAAUAUAACCCCCGCAAAAUUAUAAAUUUUAGCGGCGAAAUUUUAACCCCCGUAAUUCAUAUAAUUUUACGGNNNNNNNNNNNNNNNNNNCCAUUUUUUGUAGUGUUGUGUGUUGAGUGUUGACUAUAGGGACUUAAAUAAGUUUACUGUGAAGAACAAGUUUCCUCUACCUAUUAUUGAAGAUUUAUUGGAUAAGUUAGGAGGAUCCAAAAUCUUUUCAAAGAUUGACUUAAGAUCUGGUUAUCACCAAUUAAGAAUGGCUGCAAAGGAUGUGCCUAAACUGCUUUUAGAACCCAUUCUGGUCAUUUUGAAUACCUAGUAAUGCCUUUUGGCUUAUGUAAUGCACCUGCUACUUUUCAAAGAUUAAUGAACUCUGUAUUUCAGCAAGUUCUCAGGAGGUAUGUGUUAGUUUUCUUUGAUAAUAUUUUGAUUUAUAGUAGUACUAUUGAAGAACAUGUAAGGUAUUUUAGGUCUGUUUUUGAGGAAAUGAUCAGGCAUCAACUAUUUGCUAAAAGGAGCAAGUAUUUCUUUGGGGUUUAGAAAAUUGAAUAUCUUGGACACUUUAUAUCAGCAGAAGGUGUUUCAACAGAUGCUCAGAAAAUAGCAGCUGUGAGAAAGUGGCCCAUUCCAACUACUCUUAAGCAACUAAGAGGAUUCUUGGGACUGUCUAAUUACUAAAGGAGGUUCAUACAAGGUUUUGAUGUGAUCUGCAGGCCUUUAAAUGACUUAACAAAGAAUAACAAUUUUAAAUGGUCAACUGCAGCUCAAGAUGCUUUGAAAAGUUGAAAGAAGCUUUGACACAAGCUCCCAUGCUUGCUUUACCUGAUGUCAACAAAAUAUUUAUGGUGGAGACUGAUGCCAGUGGAUUUGGAGCAAAAGUUAGCUUUCAUUAGCAAGGCAUUGUCAUUAAGGCAUGCUACAUUAUUAGUGUAUGACAAGGAGUUAUUGACUGUUGUUCAAGUUGCCACUAAAUAGUCUCAAUACUUGUUAUGCCAAAGGUUUAUAAUAAGGACUGAUCAGAAGGCUUUAAAGUUCCUUAUGGAUCAAAAGUUACAUACUAAUUCACAACUCUUAUGGUUGACAAAGCUGAUUCCAUUUGAUUACUCUAUAGAGUAUAAAAAAGGAACUGACAAUAAGGUGGUUGAUGCCUUGUCAAGAGUUAAUGGAGCAGAAUUAUUAGCCUUGUUCGUUUCUUCUAUAGAUACUGAUCUAUUUCAAGCUAUUGUGGAUAGUUGGACUAUGGAUCUAGAACUUUAACAAAUUAUUGCAGAUUUGCAGACUAAUCCUACAGUUCACAAAUAAUUAACUUGGAGUCAAGGUCCGCUGAGAAGGAAAUGGAGAUUGGUGGUUGGAAAGGUUCAAGAAUUGAGAAGGGAUAUUAUGACAUUGUGGCAUGCAAGCCCCCAAGAAGGUCAUUUUGGGGUAGAGGCUACAUUAAGAAGGUUGCUCAGCCUCUUUUACUAGAAGAACAUGAGAGGGGAGGUGAAGAAAUUCAUUCAAAAUUGUGAUGUUUGUCAAAGGAAUAAGUUUGAUUUGGCUGCAUACCCUGGACUUUUACAGCCUUUACCCAUACCUGAUGUGGUAUGGUCACAAAUUAGCAUGGAUUUCAUUAAUGCAUUACCAAAAUCAAAUGGUUAUGAGGUGAUUCUAGUGGUGGUGUACAGACUUAGCAACUAUGGGCAUUUUCUUCCACUUAAACAUCUUUAUACAAUCCAAACUGUUGCUAAGUUUUUCUUGGAUAAUAUUGUUAAGCUGCAUAGAUUCCCUGAUGUUAUUACUAGUGAUAGGUAUGCUGUUUUCAUCAGCUCCUUCUGGCAGGAGCUAUUCACUCUACAAGGUGUUAAGUUGCAUACUUCAUCAACAUAUCACCCUCAGUCUGAUGGCCAAACUGAGGUUUUAAACAGAUGCUUAGAGACUUAUUUGAGGUGCUACUAUAAUGAGGAUGCUUCUAACUGGUUUUCUUGUCUUCCUAUGCUUGAGUAUUGGUACAAUACCUCCCAUCACCCAGCUAUUCAUACAACACCAUAUGAGGUAUUGUAUAAAAGGCCACCUCCACUACAUUUACCAUAUCAUGCUGGAGAAUCAGCUUCAGCUGAGGUUGAUAACACCCUGCUGAAUAGAAACUCAAGCUGUAGUUGCUUAAGCAUCAUCUCACUAGAGCUCAACUAAGGAUGGAGCAACUGACUGAUACUCAUAAAACUGACAGGAUCUUUGAAGUUGGUGACUGGGUUUACUUGCACCCUUACAAGCAGGUUACUAUCACUAAUCAUGUUACUCACAAGCUGGCAGCCAAGUUUUAUGGACCUUUUCAGAUCAUUAAGAGAGUUGGACCUAUUGCUUACACUCUCUUACUACCUGUUUUUGUCAAGAUACACCCCACUAUUCAUAUUUCCUUAUUAAAGAAGCGUUAUGAGUUGCCUUCUCAAAUCUCUUAUCCUCCUAUUAUGGACUUAGCGAAUCCCCAUUGCCCUGAACCAGAGCUGGUUUUGCAGAGAAGAAUGAUUAAAAGAGGGAAUAAGGUUGUUGCACAGGUGUUGAUCAACUGGGCUGGACUUUCUGCUGAUGUUGCAACUUAGGAAUUUGCUAGUGUUCUCAAGACUAGGUUUCUUUUGUUUGAUCCUUGAGGUCAAGGAUCUUCUUUAUGGGGGAGUACUGAUACACAAUAUUAAUAAGUAGGGAAAUAGUAAUAAGUUCCAGAAGUUAGUUAACACUGGAAAGCUACAGUGUAGUUAGUUACUCAGCAACUAAAGUUAGUUAAGUAGUUAUGACUAACUCAAGUAGCUUAGUCAAUGGAUAGUGAAUCAUGAGCUCUAUAUUAACAUAUAGUUCAUUUAUUUUCAUACAGAUAUACAAACAUUAAUUUUUCUUUCUCAAAAUCUCUCUCUCUAUUUUCUCAAUUCUCAUUCUCAUUAACUAUUUUCUCGAGUUAGUUACUCCUGAAGCAAUAAUUUCGAUCCUCGAGUUCAUUCGAACUCCUGCAAUCGAGUAAAAGUUAGUAUCAUUUGUUCAUCCGUCAGAUACUCCAAGCCCAGUUCUUGUACCAACUCGACUGAUAGAUCAAAGAAUAUGGUCUUCAGCGUAGAUCAAUGACAAUUGUUGUGCAGACGCAGAAUUCCUUUCAGGACAGAUACUGACAAGAAGGGUCAAUGCAGUGCUUAAUUGCAUGAAGAUUAGGAGACUUGUAAUGCAAUUGUUCUAUGUUGGGUUAUCAAUAUAGUAUCAUCGAAACCUCCCAGUGGGAUUGCGUACUACAUUAAAUGCGCAUUUGGUGUGGGAGGAUCUCAAGGAGCAUUUUGAUAAGGUAAUCGUGUUCGUGUUUUGCAAUUGCAUUGGGAAAUUACUACGAUUUUGCAAGCUACUGACUCUGUGACUCUGCACUUUUCUGAGCUGAGAGAGCUUUGGGUUGAGUAUGAUGCUCUUGUGUUCUCACUGGGCGGCGGUUGCAUUGUGCGAAUUCUAACUACCACAUUUAACAAUUGCAGAGGCAACAAUUAAUUUUUCAUGAGCAAACUAAGCACACAAAAAUAGAUUAUCACUUUGCUCGAGUCAAGAUAAAACAAGGCAAAAAUUCUCAUCAUGUUGGAUCCAAAAAUCAACAUGCAAACUAACUUACAAAGGGACUUGGAAAGAGUCGGCAUGUGGUUACCUUUUACUCGCUAAGAAGUUUCUUAGCCUCAUUACUAGCCAAUUCCAAGGCAACUAACUCUAUUUAAUUGAUUUCUAUGUUAUGACCACCCCCAUUAUAAUCAUAUCAUAUCAUCAUAUAUACUAUAUCAAAAGUGUGAAGCAACUUAAAAAUAUUAUUUAAAUUUUUUAUUCCUUGUUAAAAGUAUUUGCAAUACACAAAAUCAUAUUUUUAUUAUUUUUUCAAGUUUUAAAAACUGAUUAAAUUUAAUUAUUAAACCUUUUCUUACUUGAUUAUGUGCCUAAAGUUUAGGAGGUUAAAACAAAAUAAAUUUCUCAACUGUAAUAAAUCUUUAAAGAAGUCAAUUAAUGGACAUUUUUGCCGUACGUUCUUUAGAAGUAGUGCUUUUGUUUAAAUCCAAGUUGAUUAAAAAUUUCACCUUAAUAAAUUCAAGUAAGUGGUAGUAUAAAUUCUGCCGACGUUGAUUUAAAAUAUUAUUUUGGAUAAGAAUUUGGUCAAAACUAAUUUUAUUUGCAACUUCUUUAAUAUUCAAGGAGUUCUACGAUAUAUGAUAGUUUUUAAAAAUUACAGAAUUCUAAAUUAUAUGGCAAAAACUAUUGGUACAAUUAAUAUUUAAGAAGUCCUAUAAUAUGAGGUAAGAGGAGGAAAAACUCAUAUUUCAUGUAAACCUAUUGAUGUUGUAGCCAGCGACUAUAUAUGAUUUCUAUGGUGUUUGUCUUUGAUAAUCUAUAUAUCACAUGCACGUAACUAUAGCCACAAUUUAAGUUUAUCCUUUAAUUUGUUGCAGUACAUUGUAUUGACAGUUACUAGCUUAUAUGUACUUUUUUUUUAAAUCUCUAUAGCUUCUUGCUAUUUAAUUAUGUAAUCAACGCUCUAUGCAUAGUUUUACAUGACAGCUUUUAAAUUUGUCGAUGAAGAUGUAUAUUUUGCGUUUAAUUUCUUUUAUUCAUACUUAUUUCAUAUUUGAUGUGUCUGAAUUGUUGAAAAAUAUUACUUUCUCUAUUUCAAUUUGUUUGGCUUGAUUUGGAGUUCAGGGAUUAAUUAACUAAUGUUUGAGGUAAAUUUGAACGUAGAAUCUUUUACAUUGUUGAAUUAAAAUUUACAUAUUUUAAAAACUAUAUAAAGAAUUAAUACUAAAAAUCAUAAUAGUUAACACUUUAGAAUAUUUAAAAGCAUUUAAAAAUUGUUGACAAAGAAAAUAUUUUAUAACAAGUUAAAAGUAGAGGUGUAAUAGAUUUUGAUAUAAAAAGUAGGAUUUGCUUUUUUUUUUUUUUUUUUCUAAGUGAUUAUUGUUACUUUAUAUCUAGAGGAGCAUCUUAUGUUAAAGUUUUUAAACGUAGUGUCGUGUGAUUUGUUUUCAGGUUGUUGGCAUCAGUUUUCCACCAGUUCAGGUAGUGUACCUCAUUAUCGGAACUGUUAUCGGGGCGAAAUUGCAAGAUUAGUAAAUCAGUUCUUAAAAAAAAAUAGAAAAUCACAAUACAUAUGCUUGUGAUUGAAUCUCGAAAGAUAUGCCUCCAACUAUUGGUGACAUUUAAAGAAUGACACAAGAUAAUAUUUUAACAAAUCAAUAUGACAAAGUUUAUUAUGAAGGAACACAUUAACAAGAAUGAAUAUCCAAUUUUACACUAAUUGAUUGUAAAAAAAUAUGUUAUCAUGACUCAUACAAAAGCUAUCAUCACAAUAGUCUUUGUAAUCUUUACUACUAAUGGAUGGAAGUGUUAGAAGACUCCCCUUACUGGAAGGCGUACUAAUAGCAAAUAAAUAGUAUAAGUUCAAAGAAAUUGCAAAAGAAAGAGAAUAUAUUAAAAUAAAAUGACAACAUUUUAGAAUGCUUACGUUGACAGUUAGAUCUUUUUGAAAAGUCAUAUUUGUUGUUUAACUAUAAAAUUUUUCUGCCUCUAAUUGCAUUUUUUUUAGUACUGAUGCCAAGUUAGACUUAUGAACAUACAAUUAUCCAAUGACAAUUGUUGAUUAUCUGAAUAUUUAUGUGCUAUUAUUAACGUGCAACGCACGUUCGUAUAGACUAGUAACUCAUAAUCACUAGUGAAUUUUAAGAUUCACAUUGCAUCAUUAUACACUGAUGGAUAUUAAGCAUUUUAAUAUUUAGCUUAUAAUAUUAAUUUACCUCGAUCAUAUUAAUUUUUUCAAUAAAGUAUAAUGGUUGAUGUAAGACAGUAAGACAUAUUAAGCACCUUUUUAAGUGCUUUAAGUUGCUUUCUUGACAUUUAGUUCAUAUGCCUUUAAGUGGCAGAACGUUUGCCUCAUUUACAUAAAGCCUUAACUCUAAUUGAGUUAAUGGCAAUGGACAUGCAUGCUUCUUUUUCAUAUAAUUCAUUUGACUCUUGGUUAUGGUGGCUGAAUUUGGCUAUCAUUUUUCUUGAAAUUCUUGUAACUUCUCACUCUUUAUUCCUCAAUUAUUCUACUUUUUAUGUGUUGUAACUCUUAUAACCAUUUUGUAACUUCUACUCUAUUUAUCUUCCCAUUUAUUCUUCGUAUUCAUUACAUGGAAGAUUUCUUUACUUAUAAAUAGAGGUGGUCUUGUAUGGUUUUUAAAAAUAUAAAAUAAUAUAGAAUUCACAAAAGAUAGUAAAAAAGAGAGUCCAUUAGUUGAAGGGAGGUGUUCUUUUUGUGGAGCUUUGAACUCAACUCUUGUCUAGAGUUGUUGAGUUGUUCUUUGUGAAAAGGCUAUUAUAUCCCGGAGGGGACAAGUCAAGAAUAUUACUGCUGGACCGGUGAAAAUAUUUGCUGUAGUGAGCUUGAAUCUCCUUAAAGAGAGCGAGAUAUCCGUGCCUUUGCUGUAGUGGGCUUGAAUCUCCUUAAAGAGAUCGAGAUAUCCGCGCCUCAACCGAAGAAGAAGAAGAAGAUAGUUUUUUAUUUUCUUCACUUGUAAUUUUCAGUUAAAAUUUUUGUUGUAUUUCACCAACAAUUUUAAGGAGAUUCAAUUGCAACAACUGAAAAAUCCGCGGAUGUCAAGAUGAGAGAUCUUAACAAGCCAUUUCGGUUUAAUGGUACUCACUUCAAGAGGUGGAAGGGUAAAGUGCGUUUUUACUUAAGUUUUCUCAAUGUUUCUUAUGCGUUAACUGAGAAUAACCCCAAAAAAGUAGAUAACUCUUCCAUGACAGAUGAUGAACUUAUUUCUCUACAAGAGAAAGUUGAAAAAUAUGAUGGUGACUCCUACAAGUGUCGGUACUUUUUACUUAAUUAUAUAUCUGAUAAUUUUUAUGAUUAUUAGAAUAGAACUUACUCUAGUGCAAAGAAAAUUUGAAAAGCCAUGUAGAGCAAGUAUGACACUGAGGAGGAGGGAGAAAAAAAUAUUCGGCUAGCAAAUUUUUUCAUUUUCAAAUGAUGGACAAUAAAUCAGUGGUAGACCAAGCUCAAGACUUGAUAAUGAUUGUUGGCGAGCUCAGGUCUGAGAAAGUCAAAGUUGGAGAAAACCUUAUUGUUUGUGGCAUAAUUGAUAAACUUCCACCUUCGUGGAAGGAAUUUCAAAAAAACUAUGCGAUACAGCAAAAGAAAAUUUCUCUUGAAACUUUGAUAAUGAGAAUCUGCAUGGAAGAAGAGGCAAGGGGCCAAGAUGCACUUUUGCUAACAAAAGAGAACAACAUCAUACCGAAGGUAAAUUUAACUUCUUCAAAUAAUGCUACCACUGAAACUAACAAAAAUAUUACUUUGAAGUCUAAGAAGAAACAAUUCAAGAAAAAUGAUGAUAGACAUCCCAAGGGCAAUACUGGUGGAAACAACGAAGCAAAAAGUCAACAUGUACAAGAAAAAGGACCGUGCUUAUCUGUGGCAAGAGUGAGCAUAUAACUCGAUUUUGUAAAUUUUUAAAACGUGGGCCUACACCUCAAGCAAACGUUAUCAAAGAAUCAUUUGUGACGGUGAUAACAAAUAUAAACAUGGUGGAGAAUGUUGAUGAUGGUGGGCUGACUCUGGUGCAAACCGUCAUGUCUAUUAUGACAAUGACUGGUUUAAAAAAUAUACUCCUUUUGAGGAGCCCAAAACCAUCAUGCUUGGAUAUUGUCACAUAACUCAAGUGCUUGAAAUGAGAGAUGUCGAGCUGACGUUUACUUCUGGAAGUGUAUUGAUUUUAAAAAAUAUACUUCAUACUCCUUCCAUGAGAAAAAAAUUAAUGUCUAGUUUUCUUCUUAAUAAAGCAGGCUUCAAACAAAUUAUUGAAUCUGACCAAUAUGUAAUUGUGAAAAAUAAUAUUUUUAUGGGAAAGGGGUAUGCAUGUGAUGGUAUGUUCAAGUUGAAUGUUGAAAUGAAUAAAACAUCUAUUUCUGUUUAUAUGAUUUCUUCUACUAAUUUUUGACAUGCUCGUUUGUGUCACAUAAAUGAUCGUUAUAUGGAAAUCAUGAGUAGUUUAGAAAUAAUUUCAGUGAUCAAAAGAAAUUUUGAAAAAUGUGAGGCUUGAAGUAAAGCCAAAAUCACAAAAAGCCUCAUUUUCAAGUUGAAAAAUAAUAAUUUAUUAGAAUUAGUUCAUACUGAUAUUUGUGAACUUGGAGAAAUUUUAACUCGUGGAGAAAAUAAAUAUUUCAUCACUUUCAUUGAUGAUUUUUCUAAGUUUACAUAUGUUUACUUGAUGAAAAAUAAAAGUGAUGCUUUUGAGAACUUUAAAACUUUUCUCCAUGAAGUUGAAAAUCAGUUUGGUAGAAAAAUAAAAAGAAUAAGAAGUGAUAGAGGUCGUAAAUAUGAGAUACAUGAGUUAAAUUCUAUUGUUAGAUCAUUGGUUAUAAUUCAUGAAACUACUCUUAUUCGCCUGCACCUAACGGUGUAGUGGAAAAGAAAAAUAGACCUUCGAUCGAGUUAAUUAAUGUCAUGUUAAUUAAGUCUAGUGCACCUUUAAGUUUUCAGGGUGAAGCUCUUUUGACUGCUUGCUAUGUGUUGAAUCGUGUGCCUCAUAAAAAGAUCAAACUAACACUUUUUGAGUUGUGAAAAGGUCAUAAGUCAAAUUUGGGAUAUAUAAGAGUUUGAGGCUGCUUAGCCUAUGUAAGGUUAAUGGAUCCUAAAAUCUCUAAGUUGGGUAAAAGGUUACUACUUAUGAUUUUCUUGGUUAUACUUCAAAUAGUACAACCUAUAAAUUUUCUAAUCUUGAAGAUAGUAUGAUAAUAGAAUCUGGUGAUACUAUUUUUCAUGAAAAUAAAUUCUCUUUUGAUUCUAAAAAUAGUGGGGGUCUAAGGACUAAAGAAAUUUUUUUGUCACUACCUAGUUCUUUUCUUUUUACUUUAAAAAAUAAAGAAAAUGAUCGUUUUGAGUUAAGAAGUAAACGAGCUGGAGUAGAAAAAAAUUUUGGUCCUAAUUAUUAUAUUUUUAACGUUAGAGAUGACCCUCUCACUUUGAAGAAGUUUUGUCUUCUCAUGAUGUUAUUUUUUAGAAAGAGGCCGUAAAUGAUGAAAUGAAAUCACUAAUUUUCAAUAAAACUUGGAAGCUAGUUGAUUUACCUUUGGGUUGUAAAACAAUUGAAUUAAAUGGGUCUUACGUAAAAAGUUAAAACCAGAUGGAUCUUUUGAUAAAUACAAAGCCAGGCUAGUGGCUAAAGGUUUUAAACAACUACAAGGCCUAAAAUUUUUUGAUACUUUUUCUCCGGUAACUAGAAUUACAUCCAUUAGACUUUUAGUUGCUAUUGCGAUAAUUUUUUAUUUAUAAAUUUAUCAAAUAUAUGUAAAAACUAUUUUUUUAAAUGGAGACCUAAAUAAAGAGAUUUAAAUGGAACAACCCAAAUAUUUUAUUGAAGCUGGCCAAGAAAGUAAAGUGUGUAAACUUACUAAAUUCCUAUGUGGCUUGAAACAGGCACCAAACCAAUGACAUAAAAUUUUUGAUUCUUGCAUGAUUGAUAAUGACUUUAAAACAAAUGAGUGUGAUAAGUGCAUAAUAUAUCAUAAGUCUUGAAAUAAUUUGCAUGUUAUUAUUUGCCUAUAUGUUGAUGAUUUAUUGAUCUUUGGCUCUAACAUGAAUGUUAUUGGAGAGACUAAAAACAUUCUUAGAAGUCAUUUUGAUACGAAAGAUGUUGGUGAUACAAAUUUUAUUCUAGGAAUAAAAAUUACUAAAACAUGUGAUGAAAUUUUCCUUGACCGACAUAUUAUGUUGAGAAAAUUUUGAAAAAAAUAGAAUUUCCUUGAUUGCAAGCAUGUUGUAACUCUAUUUGAUUCUAGUGUUCACUUGUUUCCUGUUGAAAGUGAAAAUGAUAUAGUAAAUCAAACAUAAUAUUCUAGCAUAAUUGGAAUUUUGAGAUAUGUGAUUGAUUGCGCUUGGCCUGAUAUUGCAUAUGCAGUAGGAGCACUUAGCAGGUUUACUAGCAAACCAGGUAAUGAACAUUAGCAUGCUAUAAAUAAAGUAAUGAGAUAUUUAACUAGAAUGAAAACUUGUGGUUUGUUCUAUAAAAAAUAUCCUAUUGUACAUGAAGUCUUUUGUGAUGCGGAUUGAAACACUUUAUCAGGUGAUUCAUUAUCUAUUAUCGGUUAUGUAUUUACUUUGGGUGGUGGUGCUAUUUUUUGGAAGUCUAAAAAGCAAACCAUUAUUGCUAACUCUACCAUGGAGGUUGAACUAGUUGCUUUAGUUUCAACUAGUGAGGAAUUGAAUUGGUUAAGAGUUUUGUUAUUUUAAAUACCUUAUUUUGAAAAAUCAAUUCCUCCUUUACUAAUUCAUUGUGAUAGCACCGCUGCAAUUGAUAGAGUUCAAAACCGUUAUUACAACGGUAAAUCUAGACUUAUAAGGAGAAAACACAGUAACGUGAGAUCAUAUUUGACAAAUGGUACUAGUAAUGUUGAUUAUAUCCAAUCUUGUGAUAAUCUUACAAAUUCAUUGACUAAGGUCUUAGCAAGAGAAAAGGUUUGGAGCACACCGAGGGAGAUGGGAUUGGAGCCUAUUGAAUCUUGAGUCAUAUGUGAGAAAACCCAACUUGAAGACUAGAGAUCCUCUAAUCAGGUUCAGUGGAAAAAAUAAAUCACAUGAUGACUUGUUGUGAAAAAUGCAUUAUUUUUUAUCCUUCCCUAUGGUGUGACUGCAUUCACCUAUAAUGAUUGUGAGGUUAAGUUUAAAAAACUCUUAAUGAAAAUUUGUAGCUUGUAUGAGUGGGGUGCUAAAUUACAGGAGCACUCUCACUCUCGACGAAUUUCACCUAUGUGAGUGUGGAGGUAGGCCGAUUCCUAUGAAAAUUAGGCUCAUUUUCAAAAGACACUUCUUAAAACUGGGAUAGCACAAGACCAUAAUGUGUUGGCUAUAAAAUUUAUGUCAACACCUUGACUAUUAUGUGUAAGCAGUAACUUUUAUUUCCCUCAAACAUUCAUAAUUCAAGUCUGAGAUCACUAUGACUCUGGAGUAAAAAUUAUUGUUUUACUAAGUGGAGGUUUAAUGCAGAGCACACCUUCAUUAUGCAUGAUAGUCUUCCUUCAACUAGUAAACUCUCUUGUUAAUAUUAAAAUGAGUGGGAGAUUGAUGGAUAUUGAAUAUUUUAAUAUUUAGCUUAUAAUAUUAAUUUGCCUCGAUCAUAUUAAUUUUUUCAAUAAAGUAUAAUGGCUGAUGUAUGACAGUAAGAAAUAUUAAGCACUUUUAAGUGCUUUAAGUUACUCUCUUGGCAUUUAGUUCAUAUGCCUUUUAAGUGGUAGAACAUUUAUCUAUUUACGUAAAGUCUUAACUAUAAUCGAGUUAAUAGAAAUGGACAUGCAUGAUUCUUUCUCAUAUAAUGCAUUUGACUCUUGGUUAUGGUGGAUGAAUUUGGCCAUCAUUUUUUUGAAAUUCAUGUAACUUCCCACUCUUUAUUCCUCUAUUAUUCUACUCUUUAUAUGUUGUAACUCUUGUAACUCUUGUAACCACUGUAAUCUUUAUUUUAUUUUUCUUCUCAUUUAUUAUUCCUACUCAUUGCAUGGAAUAUUUCUUCACUUAUAGAUAGAGGUGGUCUUGCAUGAUUUUUAAAAAUGUAAGAUAAUUUAGAAUUCACAAAAGAUAGUAAAAAAAGAGUUCAUUAGUUGAAAGGGAAGUGUUCUUUUUGAAGAACUUUGAACUCAACUCUUGUCCAGAGUUGUUCUUUGUGAGAAGACUGUUGUAUCCUGCAGGGGACAAGUCAAGAAGAUUACGCUGGACCGAUGAAAAUAUUUACUGCAGUGGGCUUGAAUCUCCUUAAAGAGAGAGAGAUAUCUGCAGCCGAAGAAGAAGAAAAUAGUUUUUUAUUUUCUUCACUUGUAAUUUUUAGUUGUAAAUUUUAUUGUAAUUUCACCAACAUACACUUCAACUACAACACAUAAUUCAUAUUAUUAGGAACAAAAUUAUAAAAAUCAUAAAAAGUUUUGGAAUCAUCAUUUUUCAAAAUCAUUUCUAACACCAAAACAUGAAAAAUAUUAUCAUUAUUCAAAAGAAAAAUAUUCUUCAGCAAACUCAUUUUUUUCAUCACUAUAAGCAUUGCAUUCAGUCACAUCACUAUUGAUUAUCAUAAUUCUAUAUAUGCAACAUUACAGUAACAUACAAUAAACAAAAGGUAGACUAUUUUAUAGGAUCAUUUGUUAGCAGGAAAAAUGCAUCGUUUGCAGUAGUAGGCCCAAGUGACAAUCCGAGUUAAAAGCUUGGCCUAUUUAAUGUAGUAUACAUCUUUACUUGUAUUGUGCUUUAUGUUGUAUAUAAACAAGUGACAGAUAUUUUCUAGAAGAGAUAUAAGAAUAACAAUGAUUUUUUUCUUUUUCUUUUUCUCUUCUCUCUUUCUGUCUUUUUAGUUUAGGAUUUUCGUGUGAUUAAUUCAUGGUGAUUCAUUAAAUGUGUUAUACAAUAUGGUAUCAGAGCAAAAUCUACAUAAUUAUCCUCAUGGGCUAUCGAUUGAUCCUACCCUUAAAGGUUUUUGUAAGACCCCACAAAAUUCUAAUCAUUUCAGUCCUAUAUAGCAUGCCAAAAGGGGUCCCAGACUUAGAAAAAUUCAGCUAAGUGUUAUGACUUAGAAAUAUUUUUAGCCUUUGAAAUUGGAUGAUCUUAUUUAUGAUCUUUCCGACCUUAGAAUGUUGAUUUUUAAAUUGAUUCAUGAUCAGGGAUGUCAAUAGGUCAUAUUGGGUGAGUUUUAGAAUUUUUGAACUUUGUUUGGGUCGUGUUUGGAUGGGCAAAACAGCAAGCCAAUGAGAUCUUGAUACAUCGCGUUAGCUACCACAUUGACACCAUCGACACGUCGCGUCAGUGAUCAUGUCAAUUCCAUCGACGCGGUGCGUCGGGUAUCACAUCCCUAGUCCAGUUUUGUGUGUUAUAUCACAUCCCUGGUCCAGUUUUGUGUGUUAAGUUAUGGGUUUAUGGGGGUAAUUAAGUCAUUUUUCUCCCACAUUAAACUACCAUAACACAAAAUUCAGCCCCUCAAUAGGCAAAAUAAACUCACUCAUGCACAAAAUCCUCUCAAGAAAUAAACUCUAGUUCAUCAAGCUCAAGAUCAAGUUCCAAGAAAUCUACAACAACCUUCACAAAUUUCGUCACUCAGGUAUGUUAGGUGUUCAUCCUUGGGUCUCUUUCCUCCCAUGGAGUUCAAGAAACCUUUUCAAAAACUUGAAUUAUGAUUUUCAUGUUAUGAAUUAAACUAUGCCUAUGUUUGAGUUGUUGUAUGGAUUUCAAGUUGAGGUCUUUUAUGAGUUCCAUGAAAUUAUGUUAGCAUGUGUGUUGAAUUAUGAAUAUCCCAUGUCAAAACCCUUGAAUUUCCAAGAUUAAAUUGUAGUCAUGAUGCUUAUAUAUUUUUCAUUAUAAUGUGCAUUAAUUAUGAUCCUCAAGUGUUUGAUAGAAUGUCCAUGUGAAUGGAAUAGUGAAAUCAUGACAUGUUAGCAUGCAUUCUCAAUCAUGUGCAAGUCCAUGACCUCCAAGUGUUUGACAAAAUGACUCAAUGAAUGAAUUGUGAACAAUUGACUAUUGCUAUGCUUUUAAGAUUUGUCAUGCUUUAUUAUUGAUGCUAUUAAAUCCUGGGGGUAUUUAUUACCCAAAAUCUAGCUGUUUACUUUGUUGUAGUAGCUAUAGAAUCAUUCCAGGAAAGGUCAAGAAUAGUAGUACUCAGCCAGUUGGCAGAACUCAGUGAACUCAGUCCAGUUCAGUCAGUCCAUAAGAUCAGUGUUAGUUCAGUCAAGUCUAGUACAAUCUAGUGAUCAGUUCAGUGUCGAUUCAGAUGGGAGUAGGAUUCAGCACCGAGCAAACUCAGGGAUGGGGGCAUUCCUUCAAGCAGAGGGUUUGAUGCUAAGUAGCAGUCCAUACGUUAUAGAAAUACGUAGCAACUGUAGGAUGAGAUAUUUUCCUGACAGAUAAGGAUGGACAUAUCUCGUAUGAGUUUUCUUCUGAUAAGGGUUGACAAAAUGUCUUUCUGCCAGUUAGGGUGACUCACAACUAGUAUUAGUAAGCCAUCAUACGAUGCUAACGCCCUUUUAACUGGGGUUAUAGGUUGGACCCAAUUCGUCUAUAUUAGGGCAUGUCGAUUAGAUGAUACCUCCCACAGUUACAGUUUUACUGUCAGUAUUCAGUAAAGAACUCAGAUAGUUCUACAUAACCAUGGCUAUAAGUUAUCAGAUACACAGCCAUCGGAAAUUAGUAGUUUAGUAUCCGUCUAAACUUUAAGUUAUCAAUAUUCAGUUAUCAGAACUUAGUACUUCAAUCCAGUUAUAAUACCCGAAACCUUGUUUAAGCCUAAUAUAAUCUCUAGAAGAUUAAGGGAUGAAUUCCAAAGUGAGAAAUGUUUAAAUCAUAUACAGUUUUCCUAAUUUUGAAUUUUUAUCGUAUGAAAAAUUGAAUUAGCUUCCAACGAUAUAAGAUUCGCCUAAAUCUGAUAACCGGAUAAAAAGUUAUGGCUAAUUUAAGUUCUAGUCAUAAAACACUAUCAUUAUGGUGUUUAGAGCGUCACAGAGAGUGCUUAAUUAGAGGUUGUCCAAUUUCAGUAGGACUCUGUAAUGGUGGCACAUCGCGGAGGAUCCUAAUUUCCCAAUAGUUAAUUUUCAGUAGCCUAGCGCGAUUAUGGCGCAUCACACUGAAGUUUCAGGUCCCAACAAAUGGGACAACGUGAUGGCUCCAUGUCACGGUGCCCCCAAACUACCAUUCGUCAAUUUAUAGUGAGCCACCGCGAUAGUGGCGCAUCGCGGUGACCCAUAAAAUUGGGUUCCUAGUUUAAUUUUUCUAGCUUCAUUAAGAGUUAAAAGGGGGUAUUUUUGUCAAUUACCCUACCCUCAAUCCAUCCAAUAACAUAAAAUCUAUCACAUAGCUAAGCAUUUUAUGCCCUAAACAAAAACCCUAGUUCAUCAUACUUCAUCUCUAAGAAACUCAAAAUUUCUCUAUCAAUUCUCCAAAUUAAGUCAAGAUUCUAAGCUCCUAGUUCAAGAACUCCAAUAACCCUCAUUCAAGAGUACAAAUAGCAUCUCACAAGCAAGUCUAUUCAUUAAGUUCACAAUCUAAGGUAUGUGGGGUUUGAACAAGAACACUUCUUCGGUUCUUGUGCUCAAAAUCUUAUUUUAAGUUAUGAAUUUCUGAAUUUUAAUAUGAUUUCCAUGAAUGUUAAGUUAGGGUUUAUACCCCCUGUUGCUAAUUGCAUGAUUUUGAGGUUUUGAGGGGUUUGUAUAGUAAAUUACACACCUACUUUCGAAUAUUUAUGUACAUGAUUAUAUUUUUCAGAUUUUAAGUUUAAUUAAGAACAAUUGUGUUAUGAAGCAUGAACUUUAUGGUGUUUGAUAUGAAUUUAAAGCAUGGGUUUAAAGCCCUAAGAUUUAGUCUUGAUAUUUCAAGAAUGAUCAUGAUUUAAGUGUCCCAUGAACAACUAUUUUCAUAUUUUGAUAAAGGAAGUUAAUCUUUUGAACCAAGUAAAUAUAGGAAUCCACAUUAUCUAUGAUUUAAGGCAAAGUGAAGCAUAAUUAGCUUCCAUUUCACAUUCAAGUAUUAUUUAAAGUGGAUUUCCUAAAAGUUUUGAGCCUAAGUAUGGGAGUAGUAUUUAGUACCGAGUUGGGUAUGAUUCAAAGGUCUCAUGCCCCAGAACUAUGUGCCCCCGUAGGUUUCUGAUUUACCCCAAAUGGGUUAAAAUAGUGAUCACUAAAGUUAAGGUUCUAUUUCGAUGGCAAGGAUAGAGCAGCUCUCCCCAAUGUGGGAAAGAUGUUGGAAUCCAUGUCAUCUUACAUAAUUUAUAUUGGUUAGAAGAGACUCCCAAGUCCCAAAGAGUCCCAAAAUUCCAUAAUCCCAAGUCUUUAAGUCCCUAAGUUUCAAAAGAAGUUCUUUAUUCUCCUUAAAAAAGAGCAUGAGUUUGAAAGUUAUUGUUUGUAAGAAUCCUUUUGUUUACAAGCUUUGAGAAUAAGAGGGUAAUACAAAUUUUAGAACUAAGUGUAAUGACUCACGAUAUUUAUGCUACAUGUUCAUUAUUCAUGACUUAUGAGAUCUAUAUUUCAGACUUAUUCAAGUAGUGUGAGUCAUUCGUAUUUGCAUGCAUGGUUUUAUGAAGAUUAAUGAUAUUGUUUACUUAAUGCAUUGCACCCCCAUAUGCUCAGUACAUCCUUAAAGUACUGAUCUACAUAUACGUUUGUAUGCUACAUUGUCUUAUAAUGUAGGUUCAGGUGCUCAGUAUCCACAGCGUGAGUAGUUCGAUCAUCUUUAUCUACGUUUCCACAGUGGUGAGUCCUCAUGAUUCGAGGGCCUACUUCUUCAGACUUUCAGUUUUCUUUUAGUAUUUGGACUACAAUUUUUUUUCAAUUUAGUUUGAUUCAGUUGGGGGUCUGUCCAAAUGGCUCUCUAGUUUUUUAUUAGUAGAAGAGGCUUAUCAAACUAUGAGUUUGUUUUAAAACUAUUAGUAUUCUUUGUUCAGAUAGCAUCUAUAAUUUAUUCGUGUUAGUUUUAAUAUGAAACAAUAUUUACUCUUGACUAGAUUAUCUUAAAGUAAUGGUUAGAAGAAGUAGCAGGCUCAAAGGGUUAGCUUAGGGAUAUUUGUAGCCUUAAGCACCGUGUGACGUCUUGGGAUGAGAUCUUGGGGCGUUACACCAGUCUAAUUUAGACAAACAUUAUCUACGCAGUACUGCAUAUUCAACAUGAUCAAUAGUUAUAGUUUUGCAUAUACUCUCAUCUAGUUACUUUAUGAUGUUUAGUUAGUCAGUUAUCAUGUCAUGCAUAUGAACCCAUGUAUAUUAGCCUACCUCACUUAACAUACCAGUACAUUCAAAGUACUAACACAUACUUUUUCUUUGUGCCAUGAUAUGUCAUAUCAUAGGUUCGGGUGCUCAGUGUCCUGACUGUACUUAGUAGCUCAGGAUAUCAGUAGCAGAUUCAGUGGUGAGUCCUCAAAUUUCUAGGACGAUGUUUAUCUAUAUCAUUUUUUCAGUUAGCUUGGUAGUUAUUUCAGUCGGGGUUAGUUGGGGGUUUUUUCCAUCAACUCCAUAUUCAGACAGUUAGAGGCUUUCAGAUUAGCACAGUCAUAUAUCCAGUUUUUCAGAUGUUAUUAUCACUACAAUCAGUUAUUUUUUCAAUACUUGAGGACCUUAUAGCAUAUUCAGUUAUACUUCUGCAUAUAAUUUUAGUAUUUUAUUUAGUGCUCAUGGCAGGUACCAGUCAUGGGUUAGCUUGUGAUCCUUCGGGGUCGUAAGCAUCGUGUGACAUCCAGGGUGUAGAAAUGGGGGUUUACAAACUUGGUAUUAGAGUCUAAGGUUCUAAAAAAUCCUAGGGAGUCUGAAAGCCACGUCAAGUAGAUUCUUGUACUUGGGUGUAUAGUGCACCACACUUAUGGACAAGAGGCUAUGAGGUAUUUUUAGAAAAAAGUUUCCCUUCUUUCAGUGUUCAUAUCAUGCGAGUGAGCAUGCGUUCAAGUUAAACUCUCUGUCUAAUCCAACUUUUCCUUUCGUUACAGAACAUACCUCCCAGAAAGACUAAUGAAAGGAGAACUGGAAACCAGCCAAUACCUUCUCCCAUUAAGGCAGAUCCCUUGAAUGAGCACCUUUCUCACAUAGAAUUCAGAUCAGCUUUCACCUCUCUAGCUCAUUCUACAGCAGCCCAGGAUGAACGCCCAGUUGCUGUUUUGUAAAACCCCGAUUUGCUGAACUGGAAUGCUACACAGUGCUCAUGACCCCGAAGGACCACAAGCUAACCCAUGACUGAUAUUUGUACUUGUACACUGCAUAAUAUAACAUAAAAAUGCAGAAAUAUACACUGAAAGGCCAUAAGGUUCAAUACUGAACAUAACUAAACAACAUAACAUAUGUGUAGGAUAAUAGAAUACCCAAAACAAACUGAAGUCUGAAACAUAAUAGUAUGCAUCUAGUCUAUAUCUAGUCUGAAUCUAAUCUGAAAGCCUCUACUGUCUGGAUAAUCUGAAUAAGGAGUUGAUAGGACAUGUCCCCAACUAACUCCAACUAAUAAACUAAUCAAUGAAAUAACAGAGAAGUAAUCAUAUCCUUAAAGGAUGAGAACUCACUUCUACUCUGACUGCUGAAGCUGAAAUCUAUUGCUGAUCAGGAACUCGUGUCUCUGAACGUAUGGUGUAACAUAAAAAGAUAGCAGCAUAGCACAAAUGCAUCAGUACAAUGGAAUGUACUGAGUAUACAUGUGAGGUAGGCUAUAUGCAAGGGUUCACAUACAUGAAUAAUGCUAACUGACUGUCUAACAUAAACAUGAGAAUGCAUACAUAAAUGCAUAACUGUAACUGACACUGUGGUAUCGUGAUUACUGAAUCUGAAUACUGAUGACAUGAAAUUCUAAUAACUGAUAGCAUGAACAGCUAUAUCUGAAUGUAACUGAUAACAUGGGUGACUGUAUCUGACAGUCUUGAAUCUGAUGGAACUAUCUGAGUUCUAUACUAUAUCUGAGUUGAUUGUAUCUGGCAGUCCUGAAAUCUGAAAAACUAUCUGAGUUUUAUUACUGAGACUGAUUGAUUGUAUCUGACAGUUCUGAUUUUGUUAUAUGAAACUGUGGGAAGUAGUUAUCUAACCGACAUACCCCAAAUAUGCUAUAAUAGUUGAGCUGGGAUCCAAUCUAUGCCCUGAUUGGAAGGGUGUCAAUACCGCGCCACUGGUAAGGACAAUAUGUGAGUAACCCUCAUAUAACAGGUAACUCUAGUGAGAACGGUAAAAACCCUCAUAUAAUAGGUUAAGCCACCUUAUCUACCCUUAUAUAGCAGGCUACUGAUGUGCUAGCAUUUUGUUAGCAUAUUUAAGACUUUUAACUUAGAAUAAUUGUAAGUUCUUAAGUAACUAUCAUUGCUUUUGAUGAUAUUUAUUUGAUAUUACAGCAAAGUCAAGAUGCAAGAGAACCCAAGACAAUAAGGAAAAAAGAGAUGAAUAUGGAACAAAUAGCUAAGAAAUUGCAGAAGAGCAGUUGACGACUUUUGUGAUAAGUCAUCAACUUGGUGAUAAGUUAUCAAGUCCAUCAUCAGCGGGACGCAGCGUGAUGAGUUAGAACAGAAGCGUGAUGACAUCCCCUGAUAUGUCGUUAUAAAUUUGAUAAGCUAUCAAGAAUGUUGUCAGCCUUAUACAGAGAAUGGACUUCAACUGGAAUCCAUGAUGACAUUGGUGAUAAGUCGUCAAAGUUCUGAUAAGCCGUAAGGUUUCAUCAUCAUCCUAAACCAGAGAAUGUCAAAAUUAAAGAGGAUCUGAUGACAUUCCUAAUAAGUCGUUAGAACUUUGAUAAGGCGUCACGCAUGUCGUCGUCUGUUCCGAGAAAAUAGCUGUAAUCUGUGAUUUUGUUUUCAUAAUUAGCCUAAGUAUUUAAGGACAAGUCUAGGUUUUCCUUAAGAGUUUGAUUCAUCUAAGGGACGAAUUUUGGAAAUUUUAAUUUUGAAUUUCCUUUAAGUUACAGCUAUAAAUAGCAGCUUUUAGGGUUUCAUUUUGGGGGGGGGGGUGAAUCUUAGACAUCUGGAACUUUACGAACUUUAGUAUUUCUCUCUCUACUUUUGGAUACACUGUCACCAUUAACUUGUGAGAAAUUACUAUUGCUUUUUGCAGAGUUAUUUAGUGAUUGAAUUGAAGAAAUAAUUAUUGCUUUUCAUUGCUCUGUAAGUUUAUUUUUUAAAUCAUGAAUUCAAUUAUGUGUUUUGUUCAUUACAUCAUGAGUGGCUAAACUCCACUAACCUGAGUUAUGGGUUCUAGGGUUAAGUCUUGAUAAGGUGCUAAGUGUUCAAGAUUCGAAAGGGUGGUAGGAUUUCUUGAUAAUUCUGAAGCUUUAAUUAAUAUCUGUUGGUUGCAAAUAGUAGAAACACCUGCUUUGAUUUGCUUGAGAAAGAAAUCAAAUACAGUAGGAAGUGAAUUAUCAACAGGGACUCGGAAAUACUUCGUUUAAUAAUCAGCACUGUAACAAGGUUGGUUAACCUGAGGUAAAAUUUGGGUAGUGAAUAGGAAUUCCCUAAGUUCGAGAGGAUUAGGGAAUUAAACACUUAAGUAGGCCAAGAGAUAUUUAAGCAUAACAUCAAUAAAUAUAGCUUGUUGUCCUACCCACCGUGAAAAUUUUGAACCACUCUUAGCAUUUGUCAUGUAUCGGAAGUCCAAGUGAACAUAAUUCUUGUUAUAUCAUAAACUCUUGAUUACAAACACUAAAAAUUAAAAGUGAUAAACCUAAAACCCCCAUUUUAUCUUUUCGUGCCAGUUGCUUGAACUUAAAUUGUAGCUUUAGUUUCAAACUAGUUUAAUCGCCACUCACAUUGUUCCCUAUGGAUUCGACCCCGACUCUAAAAUUGGGUAAAUAGAUUGACGACGACCGCCUUGCACUAAAUUGAUGGGUAAGUUGAGUGUUAUAAAAAAUGGCGCUGUUUCCGGGGAACAAUUUGGCGUAUUGAGUUGGUUUGGAAUUUUAGCCUACUUGCUUGAAUUCAAAUUUGUAAAUAUAUGUUUUUAGUUUUCUUUUAUUUCUUGUGUUCGGUAGAUUUUUAUUUUAGUUUACUUAUUACUAUGGCAUCGUGGAAUGAACAUGAGUUUAGUGGUUGGAAAUCUUAUCUUGAUGAUCCAUGUCCAUAUUGUGAUGGAACUCACUUUUGGCAAGAUUGUAGAUAUGCUCCCCGGAGAGAGAUGUGUGCACCAUCUCCAUCCUACCGUGAGUAUGAUUGUUCUUUAUGUGGUGGUCAAGAUGGACAUUGGAGUGAUUGCCCAAAUGCCCCCGCCCCCUAUUGCACUAACCAAAAUUCUAGUUCUUCUUUUGAGUUUGACAGGUCUUAUGGUCAAGAAAACGAAGAACAAAGCACCGAAAAGAGUGGCAUUAAAGCUAUGUUUCAACUAAUAUUGAACCUCCAAGAAGAAACAUAUUGUAUUGUAUGUGAUAUGCGUCAAGGCAUGAGGCUAAUCACUCAUAAGGAGAUGGAUAUAAAGAUCAAUUAUUCAAAGCACACUUUCACAUUAUACUUAGAUGAUAUCUUAUCUGUGAAAUCAUUUUACAUAAUAGAAGAGUGUGAAGAUGAGGAUCAAGAACCCUUGGUGAUUUCCCAACCAAUCGAACCAUUCAUGAAUGAAGAUUCCAAAGAUGAGGAAAUGGUACUAGAAUUGAAAGAAGAAAUUAAGAACAAUCCUUGUGAAGACUCUAGUCCAUUUCAGGGUAAAAAUACUAAUAGGGACACUACUCUAGAAUUGAGAGCUAGUCCUCAUUCGAACCGCUUUUCAACAUUAUGCUUGAUGGAUGUGAUGGAAGUCGAACCACGCAAGCAAAUGAUGGAUUUUAAAAAUAAGGAGGAAAAUUCUUAGAUUUUGGAGUUUAUCUUUCCAAAAGGGUAUACUACAACCCCAGUCUUGAAGGCCAAGAAGUGUAAAGAUAGAUAUCCAUUUAGUGGCUUUUUAAGAUCCUCAUCGUUGCCCAUGAUCCCACACCAAAAUUCGAUGCAAAAUUGGGCAAGCGGUUCAAGUCUUUGAAGUGGCGUGAUAGAACAUUUCAUAUCAUGCCCUCACAUUUGUUCAACGGACCUAAAAGAUGUAAAGAUCAAAAGAUGGGCCGACAAGUCAAAUCAUCUAAGUGGAGGGAUAAAAGAUGACUAAAUGUUAUCGUGUCGUGACACUAAAUUAGGCGCUUCUUGGGAGGAAACCCAAGGUAUUUUGUUGUUUGUAUUCGUAUUAUGUGAUUGACAUCAGUUCUUCGCACCCAUGGUGCCACAGGUAUGUUUUUAAUGCUCUUGUUUUGGUUUGACGCAUUGGGGACAUUACAUGAUUUUAAGUUGAGGGUGGGGCUACUUGUGGGUGUUGAUGUCCUCUUGGAGUUUUUGUUGCCAUGCCUCUUUUUCCCAGAGUCUUGUUCCUAGUAAAUCCGAUAUGUUUAGGUGUAUUGUGUUUUAUUUUGUGAUGUGUUGUAGUUGACUAGGAGAAAUACAAGUACCUGAGGCAGUUAACAUGGUUUUGUUAAUUUAUGAACACCUCUCAAAUGGUCUGAUUUUUUAACUGUGUGAUUUGCAUCUAAUUGUGACCACAAUGCAUCUUUUGGUGGCAUUAGUUCUGGCAACGUGAUAAUCAGGCUAACCAAUUACACGAACCGGAUAAGUAGUGAUGUGCAAUAUAUUUGUGUGCCAUGUGUGUGUAAGGUCUUACUCAGUCCCCUUUGUAUGUGAAUCCAGAACUUACUCGGUUAGUUUUGGCUUAGUAGAAGGAUAGGGGUUAGGAGAGGAUCAUAGACCGUUUUGAUUUUAGCCCACUUUUAGCCUAAAUGGCCUUCCCUGUGUACAUAAUAUCCUUUGAUCCCUGUUUUUGAGCCUAAAUUGCCUGUUUCCUUCAUGAUACCUAUCACCUUUCCAUUUACAUCAUAAUCAACUUGUUUUGACCCUGAUCCUCCUUGAACACUGUGCACCUUGACUUAGGCAAAUAUCCUAAGUUGAGGGAGGCUAUCAUUGGGGUGCGUGAUGCAAAAUGAGUAUGAAGAGAGGUAGAAUAAGAGAAAAAAAUAAAAAGUUGGGUGUGGUGCAAAAAGAAUAAGAAAAGAAAAAGUUGUGUAAAAGAUGAGAAAAAGAUAAUUUGGUUUUUGAAAAGAUAGAACCCACUUUGAGUAUGUGUGAUCAAUAAAAGAGAGAAAGACAAAAAGGUUAAGAAGUGAAACCCCAAGAGGUUAGCGUAGUGUCAAGGAGGCGUAGUCAUUUUAAAUACCCUUGAAUAUCAUACCAUCCCUAGCCUACAUUACAAGUCAAGAAUAAGACCUAUAGUGAUUCUAGCUGACCUGUCUGAAAACCUUGGUACUGACUAUAAGGGUAAGCCUAUGGCAUUUGACGUACAUUGAGUGGAACUUCAUUCUGAGAGUGAGUCUCUUGAUUAUCCCUAUGUGUAUAUAUGUGAUUUAUGAUAUGACCAAAAAAAGGAUUUCUUUGCUGUGAGGAUACACAGGUUAUGUUGCUAGUUGGUAACUUGUUCGGAUAGUGUGAUCUUGGUACAUGCAUGGUUGUUAUUACUGAAUUUAUGCCAUAUCUUAAUUCAUGUGUGUUGCAUUGUUGUUUCUCAAUAGUAUACAUAGUUGAGUUUAAAUUGAUUGACCUGGGAGAAGGUGUAGUUGUGUGGAGAUGAUAUCAAAAAUUGCCUGCCGAAUGUACUUUGUAUUCUCUUAGUUAUAUUUUGGUUGCUUAAGGACAAGCAAUUGUUUUAAGUUGAGGGUGUUGAUGUGCUAGCAUUUUGUUAGCAUAUUUAAGACUUUUAACUCGAAAUUAUUGCAAGUUCUUAAGUAACUAUCGUUGUUUUUUAUGAUAUUUCUUUGAUAUUGCAGCAAAAGGCAAGAUUUAAGAGAACCUAAGACAAUAAGGACAAAAGAGGUGAAUAUGGAACAAAUAGCCAAGAAAUUGCAGAAGAGCAGUUGACAGCUUUUGUGAUAAGUCGUCAACUUGGUGAUAAGUUAUCAGGUCCAUGGAGGUAGUGGGAUGAAGUUGUAACAGAAGUGCGACGAUAUCCCCUGAUAUGUCGUCAUAAAUUUGAUAAGCUAUCAAGAGUGUCGUCAGCCUUAGACAGAGAAUAGACUUCAGCUGGAAUCCAUGACAACAUUGGUGAUAAGUCGUCAAAGUUUUGAUAAGCCGUCAGGUUUCAUCGUCAGCCUAAAGCAGAGAAUGUCAAAAUUGAAGAGGAUCUGACGACAUUCCUUAUAAUUUGUCAGAACCCUGAUAAGGCAUCACGCAUGUCGUCGUCUAAUCCGAGAAAAAAGUUGUAACCUAUGAUUUUGUUUCCAUAAUUAGCCUAAGUAUUUAAGGACAAGUCUAGGUUUUCCUUAAGAUUUUGAGUCAUCUAAGGGACGAAUUUUGGAAAUUUUAAUUCUGAAUUUCCUUUAAUUUACAGCUAUAAAUAGCAGCUUUUAGGGCUUCAUUCAGGGGGGAGGGGAAUCUUAGACAUCUGGAACUUUACGAACUAUAGUACUUCUCUCUCUAGUUUUGGAUACACUGUCACCAUUAACUUGUGAGAGAUUACUAUUGCUUUUUGCAGAGUUAUUUGAUGAUUGAAUCGAAGAAACAAUUAUUGGUUUUCAUUGCUCUGUAAGUUUAUCUUUCAAAUCAUGAAUUCAAUUAUGUGUUUCUUUCGUUACAUUAUGAGUGGAUAAACUCCAUUGACCUGAGUUAUGGGAUCUUGGGUUAGUUCUUGAUAAGGUGCUAAGUGUUCAAGAUUUGAAAGGGUGGUAGGAUUUCUUGAUAAUUCUAAAGCUUUAAUUAAUGUCUAUUGGUUACAAACAGUAGACAAACCUGCUUUGAUUUUCUUGAGAAAGAAAUCAAAUACAGUAGGAAGUGAAUUAUUAAUAGGGACUCAGAAAUACUUCAUUUAAUAAUUAGCGUUGUAACAAGGUUGGUUAACCUGAGGUAAAAUCUUGACAGUGAAUAGAAAUUCCCUACGUUCGAGAGGAUUAGGAAAUUAAACGCUUUAGUAGGCCGAGAGACAUUUAAGCAUAACAUUGAUAAAGAUAGCUUGUUGUCCUACCAAUCGUGAGAAUUUUAAACCACUCUUAGGAUUUGUCAUGUACCGGAAGUCCUAGUGAACAUAAUUCUGGUUAUAUCAUAAACUCUUGAUUACCAACAUUGAAAAUUAAAAGUGACGAACCUAAAACCCCCAUUUUAUCUUGUUUUACCAGUUUCUUGAACUUAACUUGCAGCUUUAGUUGAAACAAUUUUAAUCGCCACUCACAUUGUUCCCUGUGGAUUCGACCUCGAUUCCAAAGUUGGGUAAAUAUAUUGAUAACGACUUCCUUGCACUAAAUUGACGUGUAAGUUGAGCAUUAUCGGCUACGAUGUCUCAACCUAUAUUGGCUACAUAGUUCUGGAACACAAGGAUUUCUUCUAGGAAUCACACCCUCAUAUAACAGGUGAGUCCCCAUCCUUGGGUUCACUCAGUGCUAAUUCCUAUUCCCAUCUGAAUAGACACUAAACAUGGUUUAGCAACUCCCAUCUGAAUAGACACUAAACAUGGUUUACUGAACUGAUCAUGAGCUAAGUUACUGAGUUCUGUUGACUGACGAAAUACUACUGAUAUCUGACAACUGAUUGAGUCAUGAGAUCACAAAGACUUUUCCUGAGUCAUAAGACCAUCUGAAGUCUAAGAAUUCAUAGCUUGACUGAGAGUAUCGUGAAAAUAUGACAUGGCUCUAGGCACACAACUAAUGUUUUAGGUAAAAGUACCCCCAGGACUUAAUGGAAGGAAACUGACAACGCAUGAGUCACUUGAAUAAAUAAUAAUUACCAUGACACAUUUAUUGAAGCAUUUCAUCAAACAUCUAAUAGGCAUAAGCUUGUACAUUCAUGGGGAUUUCAUGAUAUCAUGCUAGUCAGGAAAUUUUCCUUCAUCUAGGCAUUUAAUCAAACAUAUGGUAGGCAUGGUACAUGUAAACAUCAUUAUUCAAUUCUAAUUUCAUCAUUCAAGGGUUUAAAUAUUAGGGUUGCAUGAAUCUAUGGCUAUAGUAAUUAAACCACAUAGAAAUUAUCAACAAGCAUGGAGUAGAAUCCAAUUUCACAUUUAUCGACAUGAACAUGAGCAGCCAAAUCAUGAAAACAUAUGGAAAAUCCAUAACUUGAGUUUAGAAAAAGAGAUUCUUGGACUUCAUGGAUGAAAGGAGUCCAUUAAUGAACACUAUGCAUACCUGAGAUUAUGUUCUUGAACUUGAAGAAUUGGAAAUCCUUUAGUUCUUGAAGAAGAUUGAAUUUUGUUCUUGGGAAUUAAGGUUAGAGAGAAACCCUAAUCUUGUUUUUGAAAUUAUAAUGAACCAAAUGGCUGACAUCGUGUAUAAUUGGGUAUGUAUACGCAGGUGCUAAAUGACCAAAAUACCCCUGUUAAAAUGACCUAGAAACACUGAACAUAAGGUACGAUAGUAGCUUCCGAUGGUCUGUCGCACCUGCGAUGGUUUGUCGAACCUGUGAUGGUCUGUCAAACUUGCGAUGAUCCGUCAGACCUGCGACGGUCCAUUGGGCCCUACCAUCAGACCUGGGAAGAAACUGGUCCCACUAGUUAUGUGCGACGGUGGCUUUCGACAGUCCAUCGAACCUACGAUGGUCCAUCGACUGCUACCGUCGUACCUGGGUAGAAAGUAGGUCCAUUGCCUCAGUUCGAUGGUCAUACUCGAUGGUCCAUCACUUAUCUGACGAUUCGUUGACCACACCGUUGUUCCUUGGCUGUUUUACUACCUUUUGUAUUUCAGCCAUAACUUUCUCAUCUGACAUCGGAUUUUGAUAAAAUUUGUAUCGAUGGAAUGCUUAUUCAAUUUUCCACGUGAUAAGAAGUAAAAAUUAUAAAAAUACCAUGUGUACAAAAUAGAUUUUUAAUUCAAAAAAAGUUCUAACAUCUUUGAGAUGAUUUUUAAGCUAAGAAAAGGCAGGGGUAUUACAUGUUCAGGCCAACCUAGUGGCCAAUACUGCUGCAACUAGAAUUCGGGUGUUCACCCAAAUGAACCCUCCUUAGUUCUCAAGGUCUAAGUCUGGAGAAGACCCACAGGAAUGCAAAAAGUAAUAGAUAUUAUGGGGUAACCACUAGUGAGAGUGCUGAGUUAGCUGCCUAUUAGUUACAGGAUGUAGCUCAUACAUGGUUUUACCAGUGGAAGGUAGAUAGGGUCAUAGAUACCGGGCCUAUAAAAUAGGAGUAGUUUGCUACUGCCUUUCUAGAUAGGUUCUUUUCGUUGGAGUUAAGGGAAGCUAAGGUAUUAGAUUUUAUCAACCUAAAGCAGGGCAACAUGAGUGUGAAAGAGUAUUCCCUCAAGUUUACUCAGUUAGCCAAAUAUGCUUCUCAUGUGAUAGCUGAUAACAGAUCUAAGAUGAGUAAGUUCGUGUCUGGUGUGUUCGAUGGUGCGAUCAAGGAGUAUAGGAUCCCAAUGCUGAUUAACGAGAUGGACUUAGCUAGGUUGAUGGUCCAUGCCCAAUAGACAAAAAACCAAAAAACUAAGGAUAGAGGAAGGAAGAAUAAGAGGACUAGAAUAUGUAGUUUUAAUUUUGCUCAGUCAGAGGGUGGUAAACAUUCUCAGUUUAGUUCAUCCUCAACUUUUUCUUCAGCUAGUGUACAAGAGUUUAGGACUUCUAGUUGGAAUGGGAUGCCAGGUUCCAAAACUUAGGUUAGUGUGAAUAAUGGUCAUACCAAUUCAUUUUAUGAAGAGUGUGGUAAGAAUCAUAAGGGAGUGUGUAGAACGAGCAGUGAUGUAUGUUUUGGAUAUGGUGAGUCAGGACACAGGGUCAGAGAAUAUCAUAAGGAUGGUCUGCAGGGUUAGAACAAUCAUUCUCUAGUUCCAUCCAAUAACCCAACUCAGCGGGGCGUCACUUCCAGUGCAACCAAUGGCCAGCGUCAGAAUAGGCUUUAUGUAUUUUAGUCCUGACAUGAUUAAGAAAAUUCUCCUGAUAGAGUUAUGGGUAUAUUACAGUCCUUUCAUAUUCUUAUGUAUAUUUUACUAGACCACGAAGCUUUAUUUUCUCUUGUAACCCCCCUACGUAUAGUUGUUAAGUUCAGUGUUAGUCCUAAAACCUUAGCAAAGACUUUCUCAGUGUCUACCCCAAUGGGUAUAUCUAGUCUAGACAGAUGGGUAUACAAAAAUUGCCCAUUACAGUAUCUUAGUAAAUCACUUCAGUUGAUUUCAGAAAUAGAGUAAUUUAGUUUUAGCUUCUCAGUGAACCAGUCAGUGAAUGAAGGGGUAGUACCUUAGUGUUUAGGAGUCAGAUGUGAUUUCAGCUUCCUUCUCAGAAUCCUAUGAUAGAAUAUGAUCUAGAAUUUGAAGCAUGAAACUAGGAGUUUAGCAACAGUAGUAAUGGGAUGGUGUUAUCUGAAGUUGAGCAGAUUAUAUAUUUUAUGGGACUAGUCAUUUGAAAGGCAAAUCAAUAAGCUUGAAGUAGUGUAUGCAAGAAUUUAAGUUUUUGAAUUGAAACAUGUGUUGUGGAUAUGAUAUUAGUAGGCUAUGAUGAAAGUAGUAUAGUUUAUUAAAGAAAUGGGGAUCUCUGGAGUAAAAUGGUUUCAGUGUUGUUUAGAGAUGUUGAUUUAGUGAUCCACAGGCUUAGAACGAUGACUUUAAGCUAAGGGGGAGAUGAUAGAAAAAGUAACCAAGCCAACCCCUCAUAUUCUAGUAGUGAUGCCAGUGUGUGUAGAACAAGACUAGGGAGGGAGACGCCCAACCCAUGCUUAUUCCAGUAUUUGCACUUCAGUUAUUGCGAUAUCUACUCAUGCCUUACAUAUCAUGUCUAUGCUCAUAGCUUAUAUUCAUGCACUUUCCAUAGAAUUAUUCAUGAUUCCAGUCCCUAGUAUAAGGAGUUCCAGUUUGUUCAGCAGUGCAAAUCACGUUCCAUGAAUUCAGAAAUUCCAAACUCAGGUCAGGCAUCAUAUGACACAUGUACUCAUGCUUUAGAGUAUGCCCAGUUCUAGUACUCAUGCCACGCUCCCAAUGAUUAGUGAAUUUCAGAUUUGUUAUAUAUACCCUCAAACUCGAUUUCUUUGAUGAAUUUAUGUCAUGGAUACUCUAUUCCACAGGCCUCAGUCUCAGAUCCCAGAUAUUCAGUCAUGAUUUGGUUCAUAAGUGUCCUAUGUAUCAUCUCAGUUUUUUAUUAGUAAUUCAGCCAAGUCAGUAUCAUUCAAGAGGUGAACUAUCCCAAGGGGCAGAUGUCGUGGUACCCUGAGUUUUCAUGUACUAAAUAUCCCUUUUUCUUUUCAUAAAACCAGAUCUAGAAGGAGGUAAUGGUUACUCAUGGGUUGACUCUCUCAUUUCUAUCUUAGUCAUAUGACCAUUCUCAUGACAUUGCAUGUAUUCCAGAAAUCAAUUCAGUUCAUGAUAUUCAGUCCAUGUAUCAUAUUUCAAACUUAGUUAUGAGCUCAUGUUCCUAUUCACGCAUGUUCAGUAAAUUAUCUCAGGUUCUUCAGUAUUCUUAACAUAAGGUAACAAUUUUCCUUAGAAUUCCUCAUUUCCAUGCUUAGUUCUGCUGCAUAACAUUCUCAUAUCAUUCAUGCAUUAAUGAAAUGGUUCAGUCACGUGUCAUGUCUUCAGAUUUCAGUCAAACUUUAGUUAUGAAUGUCAGUGUAAGUACAGUUCCUUAGUUACUCUCAGUUCAGAUAGUCUCAUUCGAGUACAAAUAUUACCAAGGAGUAGAUAUUAUAAGACCCCGUAAAAUUCUAAUCAUUUUAGUCCUAUAUAGCAUGCCAAAAGGGGUCCCGGACUUAGAAAAAUUCAGCUAAGUGUUAUGACUUAGAAGUAUUUUUAGCCUUUAAAAUUGGAUGAUCUUAUUUAUGAUUUUUUUGACCUUAGAAUGUUGAUUUUUAAAUUGAUUCAUGAUCAAGGAUGUCAAUAGGUCAUAUUGGGUGAGUUUAAGAAUUUUUGGACUUCGUUUGGGUCGUGUUUGGAUGGGCAAAAUAGCAAGCCAACGGGAUCUUGAUGUGUCACAUUAGCUACCGUGUUGACACCAUCAACGCGAUGUGUUGGUAAUCGCAUUGAUCCCAUCAACGCGGCGCAUUGGGUAUCACAUCACUAGGCUAGUUUUGUGUGUUAAGUUAAGGGUUUAUGGGGGUAAUUAAGUCAUUUUCCUCCCACAUUAAACCCCCAUAACACGAUAUUCAGCCCCUCCAAUAGGCAAAAUAAACUCACUCAUACACAAAAUCCUCUCAAGAAAUAAACCCUAGUUAUCAAUCUCAAGAUCAAGUUCCAAGAAAAGUCUAAUAGUCUUCACAAAUUUCGUUACUCAGUUAUGUUAGGUGUUCAACCUUGGGUCUCCUUCUACCCUUGGAGUUUAAGGAACCUUUUCAAAAACUUGAAUUAUGAUUUCCAUGUUAUGAAUUGAACUAUGCCCAUGUUUGAGUUGUUGUGUGGAUUUUAAUUUGAGAUCUUUUAUGAGUUUCAUGAAAUUUGGUAGCAUGUGUGUUGAAUUAUGAAUCUCCCAUGUCCAAACCCUUGAAUUUGCAAGAUUACAUUGUAGUCAUGAUGCUUAUGUGUUGUUCAUUAUCAUGUGCAUUAAUUAUGCUACCUAAGUGUUUGACAGAAUGUCCAUGUGAAUGGAAUAGUGAAAUCAUGACAUGUUAGCAUGUGUUCUCAAUCAUGUACAAGUCCAUUACCUCCAAGCGUUUGACAAAAUGACUUAAUGAAUGAAUUGUGAAUAAUUGACUAUUGCAAUGCUUUCAAUAUUUGUCAUGCUUUAUUAUUGAUGCUAUCGAGUCCUGGGGGUAUUUAUUACCCAAAAUUUAGUUGUUCACUUACUUGAAGUAGUUAUAGAAUCGUUCCAGUAAAGGUCAAGAACAGUAGUAACCAGUUAGUUAGUAGAACUCAGUGAACUCAGUCCAGUUCAGUCAGUCCACACGAUCAGUAUCAGUUCAGUCAAACUUAGUACAUUUUAGUGAUCAGUUUAGUGUCGAUUCAGCUGGGAGUAGGAUUUAGCACCGAGCGAACUCAGGGAUGGGGGAAUUCCUGCAAGCAGAGGGUUUGACCCUUAGUAGCAGUCCAUGCGUUAUAGAACUAUGUAAAAAGCGUAGGAUGAGAUAUUUUCCUGACAGAUAAGGGUGGACAUAUCUCGUAUGAGUUUUCUCCCAGUAAGUGUUGACAAAAUAUCUUUCUACCAGUUAGGGUGAAUCACAACCAGUGUUAGUAACCCACGAUAUGGUGCUAACACCCUUCCAAAUGGGGUUACAGGUUGGACCCAAUCUGUCCAUAUUAGGGCAUGUCGGUUAGAUGAUACCCCUCAUAGUUUCAGUUUUAGUUUCAGUGUUAAUAUUCAGUAAAGAAAUCAGAUAGUUCAACAGAACCAUGGCUAUCAGUUAUCAGAUACACAACCAUCAGAAAUUAAUACUUCAAUAUCAGUCUAAACUUUUAGUUGUCAAUAUUCAAUUAUCAAAACUUAGUACUUCAGUGUAGUCUAAUUUAGACAGACAUUAUAUGUGCGGUACAACAUAUUCAACAUGUUUGGUAGUUACAAUUUUGCAUGUUCUCUCAUCCAAUUACUUUAUGAUGUUCAGUUAGUUAGUUAUCAUCUCAUGCAUAUAAACUUAUGUAUAUCAGCCUACCUCACUUAGCAUACUAGUAAAUUCAAAGUACUGACGCAUACUCUUUCUUUGCGUUAUGAUGUCUCAUAUCAUAGUUUCAGGCGCUUAGGGUCCUGACUGUACUUAGUAGCUCAGGCUAUCAAUAGUAGAUUCAGUGGUGAGUCCUUAUAUUUUGAGGACAGAUUUUAUCUAUAUCAGUAUUUUAGUUAGCUCGGUAGUUAUUUCAUUCGGGGUUAGUUGGGGGUUUGUCCCAUCAACUUCAUAUUCAAACAGUUAGAGGCUUUCAGAUUAGCACAGUCAGAUAUCCAGUUUUUUUCAUGUUAUUAUCAGUACAUUCAGUUAUUUUUCUGUAUUAUGAGGACCUUAUAGCAUACUCAGUUAUACUUCCACAUAUAUUUUUAGUAUCUUAUUCAGUGCUCACGGCAGGUACCAGUCAUGGGUUAGCUUGUGAUAUUUUAAGGUCAUAAGCAUUGUGUGACGUCCAGGGUGUAGACUCGGGGCAUUACAGUUUUCUAUAGUGAUUUUUUUUGCAUAUUUCGGAGAGUUAAUUUUUUCCGACAAUUUUUGGUCAAGUUCGCUUGAGCUCGUUUAUCCUGGAGGAUCAAGGUACAUGUUUGAGGUUAUUGCUUAUUUAAGCUUAUUCAGGAAAUUUUUGAGCUCAUUCCGGCUAGUUAAGGGAAUCUUUUGUUAGUCACAAAGUUUACUUUGUUUUGUUCAACAAGGCUUCUAUUCUUUGAAGUUAUUAGAAGAAAUAUGGUAUUAUCUUUCCUUGCUCCUCAUUUUUUAACAAUUCGCAUAUCUUGUAUAUUCGAUCUUAAUUUACAGUAGAAUAUAUUCAUAAAUCAUUAUUGAAUAGUUGUUUUGAUUCCUAAAUAGAUAACCCUACUAAUAUUGCGUCUACUUCUAUGGGAUCUGAGGGUUUUACUCCCUUAUCAAUUGAUCCCUCACAUCCUUUAUAUAUUUAUCCCUUCGAUAAUCCAAUACUCCACUUGCUUUUCCUUCUUUCGAUGGGAAUUAUUUUUUUCCUUAUAUGAGGAAUAUGCUUGUAUCCUUGUCUGUAAAGAACAAGCUCAAAGUUAUUAUUGGGAAAAAUCCACAACCAACAGAGGACUUUUCUUAUUACUUAGGUUGGGAGCACAUCAAUGACAUGCUCAUUGCUUGGAUUACGAAUUUCCUAUCCUGCAAUAUUUUCCUUAGUCUCACAGGUCAUACUAUAACUAAGAAACUCUGGAGAGAUCUAAAUGAAUGAUCUAGCUAGUCCAAUGGAUCCAAAUAUAUUUAGAUUCACCGAGAGAUUAACUCCACCAACCAGGGACCAUCUGAUAUAGCUACUUAAUUAUUUUACAAAAAUGAGGUGCUUAUUAGAUGAAUCAAAUACAAAUUUUGUAGGCCCUGUUUGGACAUGUGGUGCUCUGUCCACACUUUUAGAGGAAGAAUAGUUAUUUCAAUUUUUGAGUAGAUUAAAUAGUCUUACUCUACUGUUAAGACUAAUAUCCGCAGAUGUCCCCCUUACCCUCCAUUAGUACAGCCUAUUCUAUGUUACAACAUGACGAGCACUAAAAGGAAUAAUCUCCUUAUGUCCCAUCCUUCUCCACUGAUUCUGCAAUAUUUUUAGCUUUUACCAAUUCUUAUAAUCAUUUUAGGAGAAGAAGUCCAUAUGUUUACAACCAAAAUUUUUAGCUUGAACCCAAAAAUAAUCAUAAACCCCCUUAUGAUUCCAACAUUAAUCAGAAAGUACAUUUUGAUCCCAAACAUACCCAAAGGUUUCAAUUUGAUUCUAAGAAGGGUAAUUUUACUGAUACAUCAAAUUUGUUUUGCAAAUAUUAGAAGAUAUCUUGCCAUAUUAUUGAUAAUUGUCACAUACUACAUGGUUUUCCUAUUGACUUCAAGUUCACUAAGAAUAAUAAGGCUAUUGCUUCAUGUGUUCAACAUAACAAAUCUGCAGAAGAAAUUUCUUCUUCUAUUAUCCCCACUGGUUUCUCUAAUGAGCAGUACCAAUAUUAUCAAUAUCUUUUGAGUUUUCAACAAAGUGUAUCCACUUUUGAAGGGACAUUUGAUGAUAAUACAACAUUCAGUGCUUUUGCGGGUUUGUUUAAUAGUUUUGUUAUGUCUAGCAUUGAUUCUUAUACUUGUGUUCUCUUUCAAUUAAAAAGAUAUAUCCCUUGGAUACUAGAUUCAGGUUCAACCAAUCACAUGACACCUCACAAACACCUUUUACACAAUAUUCAACCUUUAUAUAGUCCGUACUUAAUCACCCUUCCUAAUGGGUAUAAGCUAAGAUUUGUAUCUACUGGAUCUUUUCAGUUCAACUCUGACAUAACCCUUCAUAAUGUUUUUACUGUUCCUUUAUUUCAUUUUAAAUAAUAUCUAUCCACAAAUUAUUAACUCGGCUUUAAUGUUAUACUUUCCUUACCAUUUUUACUUGCUUUCUACAGGGCCCUUUUUUAAAGAGGUAAUUAGAGAUUGGUAAAGCUGUCAAUGGACUAUAUUUUUUGCAUUAAAUCUAUCUUCUACUACUGCUUUACCAUCUAUAUUCACGUCUGCAGAUUUUUACUUGUAAUAAUUAUUUCAGUACUGAAUCGAAUUCUAUUUCCACUGUUCUUAUUGCUAUUGCAUUUCCCGAUUCUAUUUUUUGUAAUUCAUUCAUCAAUAAUGAUAUUACUUCUCCUUUUAUUUCCAACAAUCCCUUCUGUGUUAAUAACAAAUUACAUGUGUUUUGGCAUCAAAGAUUAGGACAUGUUCCUUUUCAUAAAAUACUUUCUUGAAUGGUUCUUUGGAAGAAGAGGUUUACAUGAAACUCCUUCUUGGUCUUACUGUUACUCCUUCUUCCUUUUUCCAGAUUGUGUGCAGACUUACAAAAUCUCUCUAUGAUCUUAAAUAGGCCUCUAGACAGUGGUUUCUCAAACUGUCUUACGCCCUGUUGUCCAAAGGUUUUACUGCUAGCAGACAUAACUAUCAUUAUUUACUUAGGCUAUCUCUGGAUCUCUUAUUGUAAUUGUUGUGUAUGUUAAUCAUUUACUCUUGGAUGGAGAUGAUCAUACUUCCUUGACUGAUUUAAAGGCAUUUAUAGAUGUCUGAUUCCAUAUUAAAGAUUUGGGGCAUGUUCAUUACUUUUUGGGGUUGAAAAUUUCACCCACCCCCGUUGGCUAUACUAUUUGUCAACUUGAAUAUACCAUUGAAAUUCUUUAGGAGUUCCAUUGUGAUGGUGUUACUAUUUUUAAUACACCACUUGAUUCUUCUAUGAAAUUAUUGGUUGAUAUGGAUUCUCUCUCUACUGAUGCAUCCCUUUAUAGGCGUCUCAUCAGAAAGUCGAAUUUCUUGUAGCACACUCAUCGUAAUAUUGCUUUCUCAGUGCAGCACCUUAGCCAAUUUCUAAAUGCACCUCAUGUGCCUCACAUGAUGGCUACUUUACAUGUGUUGUGCUAUCUCCUUAAUUCUCACAAUCUUUUUGUCUUCCGCUGAGGUUGAGUUUAUAGCCUUACAAAAUAUUGUUGCUAAAAAAUGUUGGUCAUGUCGUUUGUUGGGUGAUAUUAGUGUCUCCAUUGACUCUCUUGUUCCUAUUUUUAUGAUAGCCAGGCCACCACUCACAUUGUCUAGAAUCCAAUUUUCGACAAACAUACGAAACUUAUAGAUGUUGAUUGCCAUUUUGUACGUGGUUGCUGACUAUUGGUGUGAUUUGUCUUCAUCAUCUUCGUACCUCUGAUAAGUUUGCUAAUCUGCUGACUAAGCCUCUUUCAGGUGUUCUUCACCAUCAGUUAUUGUCCAAGUUGUCUGUGUACUCCCCUUUUAACUUGAGAGGGGAUGCUAGCAUGAAGAAUGGGCCGUCUACAGUAGUAGCCCUAAGUGACAAUCCGAGCUAAAAGAUUGACCCAUUUAGUGUAAUAUACACCUUUACUUACAUUAUGCUUUAUGUUGUAUAUAAACAAGUGCCAUAUAUUUUCUAGAAGAGGGAUAAAAAUACAGUGACCUUUUUUUUCUCCUCUCUCUUUCAUUUAGGGUUUUUGUGUGAUUAAUUCAUGGCGAUUCAUUGAAUUUGUUAUCCAACGUCAUUUAUCACAAUCUUAACAUGACACCCUAUACUUUCAAAUAUUUCAAAAUAAAGGGAUUAUUUUUUUUUUCAAUCCUUAAUGUUUAUUCAAUUCUACACUUCACAUGCAAUUUGUACACAAAAUUAUCAAAAGAUAUCAAUAUAAAAUAAUGGUAUGUCGAAAUUAAAGGAUGCUCAAACCACUAACUUUAUUUCUCACAAAUGACCAAAGCUUAUAAUGUAAAAGAAAUGUUAGAAUAUGUAAACAAUUGUUAUUAAACUAAUUAAUGGUCGGAAGCACUAUCAUUAGAAAAAUAUUAAAGUAAUUGACUUUUAAAGAAUACGAAGUACAAAUAAAAUAGUUACUAUAAACUCUUCACCCACAAAAUAUUGUAUUUAUUAAUAUAUUAUCAUACUCAAAUAAAAUCUUCAUCCAAUUCUCUAAUAAUCACGUAAAAAUCAAGUUGAUACAAAUAUUAACAUCAUGUAUCACCUCAAAUAAUAUCAAUGUUUCAUAUGACCACGGAGAGUAUGAGGUAAACCAUUAAUGAAGUCCAUAGUAAUCCAUUUCCAUUUUCACUUGGGAAUGGGCAAUCUCUAAGUUAAUCUACCUAGAAGCUCUGCUGACAACAUCCGCAAUGAGCCACAAUGUCUGCCACAUCUCUCUUCAUACCGUCCUACCAAUAAUGCUACCUCAAAUAUCCAUAUAUCUUAGCUGUAUCGAGAUAAAUAGAAUAUCUAGAGUGAUGAGCCUCAUGAAGAAUCGACUGAAUUAGAUCAUCAAGCCGGGGAAUACAAAAUGACCCUGAAACCUCAAUGUACCCUCAAAAUAAAUGGUGUGCCUCCCAGACUCACCACAACCACUGGUCAUGGAGAAAACACAACUUGUUAUCCUCAUACUAACGAUUACGAAUCCGCUCAAAUAGGGAGGACCUCACCUCCACACAAGCCAAAAUCCUCUUAGUAUCUAAAAUAUCAAGGCAAAUCUUCAAGUUGGCUAAGGACUGAAUGUCCCAUACCACAGGCCUCUGAGAAACAAAUAUACAUGCCAAGCUACCCAUACUCACUGCCUUGCGACUCAAGGCAUCAACUACCAUAUUCGUCUUAACCGGAUGACAUAGGAUGGAAUAUCAUAGUCUUUUAACAUCUCCAUCCAUCUACGCUGGCGAGCAUUAAGCUCUUGUUGGGUCAUAAAAUGUUGAUGGCUACUAUGAUCAGUGAAAAUCUCAUAAUGUACACCAUGCAAAUACUACCUCCAAAUCUUGAACGUGAAAACUACCACCACCAACUACAAAUUAUGAGUGGGGUAGUUGCGCUCAUGCACUUUAGGAUGUCUAUAAGGGUAAGCAAUAACACAACCUUGUUGUAUCAAAGCACAACCAAGACCAACCCCAGAAGCAUUACAAAACACGGUGAAUCCCUCACCCUCAACUAGAAGAGGUAACACUGGCACUGAAGUAAGACAAUCCUUGAGCUUUCCAAAGCUCAACUCACACUCCUUGGGCCAUCGUAAAAGAACUUUCUUCCAUGUCAAUCUAGUCAUAGGAGAUGAAAUAAUCGAAAAACUCUCAACAAAGCAUCAGUAAUAACCGACCAACCCAAUGAAAUUCUGAACCCCAGUCGGAGACGUAGGCUUAUCCCAAUCACGAAUUUCCUCAAUCUUAGCCGGGUCUUCCAUAAUACCAGCCUUGUACACCACAUGUACAAGAAAUGCCACUGACUCAAACCAAAACUCACACUUAGAGAACUUGUAAAAAAUGUAUGAUCGCUCAAAGUCUGGAGCACGACUCUCAAAUGCUACGCAUGCUUCUCAUUACUCCUCGAAUAAAUAAGAAUGUCAGAAAUGAACAUAAUAAUGAAAGAAUCUAGAUAGGUCCUGAACACAUGGUUCAUUAAAUCCAUGAAUGUGGCCGGGGCAUUAGUCAGCCCAAAAGAUAUCAUUAAAAACUCAUAAUGACCAUAACGGGUCCUGAAAGCUGUCUUCAGAUAUACUCAACUUGAAUCCUCAACCGAUGGUAACCAGAUCAAGUAAAUAUUAGCAAACACUACUGCACCCUAAAACUGGUCAAAUAAAUCAUCAAUACAAGGCUUAGGAUAAUGGUUCUUUAGCAUCACCCUAUUAAGCUGCCUAUAAUCAAUAUACAUACGCAUCAAAUCGUCAUUAUCCUUACAAACAACACAGGAGUUCCCCACGGGGAAACACUCACUUUAAUAAAAUCCUUACCAAGAAGAUCCUGAAGCUGGUAGGAGCUAUACGAUAAGGUGUCAUAUAAAUAGGUCGGGUGCCAGGAUCAAGGUCACUAAUAAACUCAAUCUCAUGGUCAGGGGGAAUACCAGACAGGUCGGUAGGAAACACAUCAGGAAAGUCAUAAACAAUAGGAACAAAUUCAAUCAACAAACUGUCUACAUGAGCAUCACAUAUAUAAGCGAGAUAAGAUUUGCAGCCUCUCGAUAUAACUUUCUUAGCAUAAACAUAAGAAAUAGUCCCCAUCAUCUUGCGACUAACUGCUCCCUGCAACAUGACUAAGGGUACUCAAGAAUGGUGUAACACCCUGAGACUGCACCCUGGGUGUCACACAGUGCUUAUAACCCCAAAGGACCACAAUCUAACCUGUGACGAGUACCUGCUGUGAGUACUAAAUAUAAUACUAAAAUAUAUAUGCAAAAGAAAUUUGAAAAUGCCAUAAGGUUUCCAAAAUAUUGAAAUAAUAGCUGAGUAUAAUAGAUAAUAACAUCUAAAAACUGAAUAAUUAACUAUGCUAGUCUGAAAGCCUCUAACUGUCUGAAUAUGAAGUUGAUGGGACAAACCCCUAACUAACUCCAACUAAAAUAACUAUUGAUCGGAUGAAAUAGAUAAAAUCUAUCCUCGAAAUAUGAGAACUUACCACUAUAACUGCUAUUGAUAGCCUGAGCUACUAAGUACGGUCAGGAAGCUGAGCGUUUGAACCUAUGAUAUAAGACAUCAUAGCGUAAAAGAAAGUAUACGAUCAGCACGUAAAAUGUACUGGUAUGCUAAGUGAGGUAAGGCUAAUGUACAUGGGUUUAUAUACAUGAGGUGAUAACUGACUAAAUCAAUAUCAUAAAACAACUGGAUAAGAGUAUAUGCAGAACUGUAACUGUUGAACAUACUGAACAUGCAAUACUAUGUAUAUAGGUAUACAUCAUAUAUCUGAGAUUAUACUAAAACUAAAUACUAAAUUCUGAUGGUUGAGUAACUGAUAACAGAUAGCCAUGGUUUUGUAGAACUGAUUGAGUUAUUUACUAAAUACUGAGACUGAAACUGUAAUUAUGGGAGUGUUCGUCUAACCGACUUACCCCGAUAUGGACUGAUUUGAGUUCCAACCUGUAACCCUAGUUGGAAAGGUGUUAGCACCUUGCCAUAGAAUACUAACAAUGUUGUAUCAAUCCUAAUCUGGCAGGAAGACUCAUGAAUAUGUAUAUGAUUACGUCAACUCAAGUCUGGAAGGAGAACAACUUACCCUACGCUGCUACGUAGUUCUGUAACUCAGGGAUUGCUACUAAGGGUCAAACAUUAACUGGCAGGAAUGUCCCUAUCCCUGGGUUUGCUCGGUGCUGAAUCCUAUUCCCAACUAAAAGACACUGAUCACUAAACUGUACUAAACUUGACUGAACUAACCCUGAUCGUGUUGACUAACUGAACUGGACUAAGUUCACGGAGUUUUGUUAACUGACUGAGUACUACUGUUCUUGACCUUUAUUGGACUAUUCUAUAACUACUUGAACUAAGUAAAUAGCUAGAUUUUGAGUAAUAAAUACCCCAGGACUCGAUAGCAUAAUUGAUAAAAUCACAUCAUAACUUUAACAAUAUAAUAAUAAGUUACCAUGAAUAAUUUACUCAUACAGAUAUUUUAUCAAACACUUGGGGAGCAUGGUUAUUGCACAUGAUAAUGAACAACACAUAACCAUCAUGACUACAACCUAAACUUGCAAUUUUAAGGGUUUUAACAUGGGUAUUACAUCAAUCAACAUGCAUGCUAUCUUAUGUUCAUGAAAUUGAUAAUUAAAUCUUAAAUUAGAACUCAUACAACAACAUAAGCAUGAAUAUAGCCCAAUUUGUGCAUGUAAAUCAUGAUCUGAAAACUUGUAGCUUUAAAAAGGUUCUUGAACUCCAAGGGUGGAAGAAAACCCAAUGAUUAACACCUAACAUACCUUGAUUAUUGAUUUCAUGAGAAUUGUGGUAAAUUCUUGGGACUUGGACUUGAACUUGAUGAAACUAGGGCUUUGUUCUUGAGAGUAUUUGUGAAAUAAUGAGUGAAUUUUGUCCUUUGGGAGGUUUAAUUUUGUGUUAUGGCUGAGUAUUAUAAGGGUAAAAUGAACCAAUUACUUCCAUAAACUCGUAACUUAAUACACAAAACUUGCCUAGUGACUCGAUAGGUGAUGCACUGCGUUGAUGGUGUUGACGCUAUUGUCGAUGUGCCACAUCAAUGCUGUCGAUACGAUGCCAAUGUGACUCAUCAAGAUCGCAUUGGAUUGCUAUUUUGGCCAUCCAAACAUGACUCAAACGAUGUCCAAAAUUUCUGAAACUCACCAAAGAUGACCUAUUGACAUCCCUGAUCAUGAACCAACUUAAAAAUCGACAUUCUAAGGUUGUAAGGAUCGAAAAUAAAACCAUCCAAUUAUGUAGGCUAAAAUGAUUCUAAGUCUUAACACUUAGCUGAAUUUUUCUAAGUUUGAAUUCGGGGCCUUUAAAUACUCCCACUUGGGAAUAUUCAUUCUCAAAUGAGAUUGACUGAACUGAGAAAAACUGAAGAACUGUACUUACACUGACAUGCAUAACUGAAGCAUGACUAAAUUUUGGAGACAUGACACAUGACUGAACAAUUUCAUGAAUGCAUGAAUGAUAUGAGGAUGUUAUGCAGCUGUAAAGAGUAUGGAAUAUAGUAAAUCUAAGAAAGACUGUUACCUUAGGCUGAGUCUGAUUUUGUAGAGAAGAGAUGAGGGUACUUGGUUUGCAUGUCUUCUUUUGCUUCCCAAGUACCUCCCUCAACAAACUAAUUUUCCCAAAAAAGUUUGACCAAAGAAACUUCUUUGUUCCUUAGUCUGUGAAUCUGACGAUCAAGGAUUUUGACUGGGACUUCCUCAUAAGAGAGACUAUUCUGAACAUCUACACUCUCUAUAGGGACUACAACUGCUGGGUCACCAAUGCACUUCUUUAGCAAGGAGACAUGAAACAAUGGGUGCACUGAUGCUAAGUCUACGGGUAACUCAAGCUCAUAAGCUACCAUACCGAAAUGACUCAAAAUCCUAUAAGGACCAACAUAUCGGGGACUUAGUUUCUCCUUCUUACCAAACCUCUUCACCCCUUUCAUGGGAGAGAUUUUUAAAUAUAUAUAAUGGUCAUUCUUAAAUUUAAGAUCUUUCCUUCUCAUAUCUGUAUAAGAUUUUUGUUGGCUCUGGGCUGUCUUAACCCUUCCCUUGAUCAAUUAUACUUUCUCUAAGGCAUCAAACACCAAGUCAAGCCCCAAUACUAUGGCCUCACCUACCUCAAACCAACCAAUAGGAGAUCUACAUCUUCUCCUAUAAAGAACCUCAAAUGGAGCCAUCUGGAUAUUAGAAUGAUAGAUGUUAUUAUACGCGAACUCAAUCAAAGAUAAGUGGUCAUCCCAACUGCCCUUAAAGUCAGCGACACAUGUUCUCAACAUAUUUUCUAAAGUUUGAAUGGUCCUUUCUGCUUGACUAUCUGUUUAAGGGUGAAAGGAUGUACUGAGGUGGACUAAGGUAUCAAGACCCUUUUAGAAGGAUUUCCAAAAGUGAAAGGUGAACUGCGUAAUUCUAUCUGAAAUAAUGGACAACGGGACACCGUCUAACAUAACCAACUCUCUGAUAUAGAUCCUGGUAGAGUCCUUGACUGAAUAAGAAGUUAGAACUGGAAGAAAAUGGGAUGAUUUGGUCAUCCUGUACAUAAUGACCCAAAUUGAGUCAUGCUAAUGACGAGUACGAGGUAAACCUACCACAAAAUCCAUGUUCAUUUCCUCCUACUUCCAAGUGGGAAUACUAAACUUCUGCAUAGACCCACUAGGCUUUUGGUGCUCAAUCCUAACCUGCUAACAUGUGGAGCACUUAGCUACAAACUCUACAAUAUCUCUCUUUAUCCCACUCCACCAAUAGAUAUGCCGCAAGUCGCAGUACAUCUUAGUGGCCCCUGGAUGAAUAGAGUAACAUGCACCAUGUACUUUAUCAAGAAUUUGCUGUCUCACAUCAUCCACACAUAGCCUACCCUAGCGACACAACACACCAUCUUUCCCUUGGGAGAAAAUCUUUACUUUCUAGUCUCUGACUGACUCUUUCAAUUUAACUAAACUGGGAUCUCUGUCCUGCUUUUCUUUCACCUCUGAAACUAAAGAAGACUCUGAACUAUGCCACACCCAAAUACUUUCCUCGGCUGAAUCAACCAAACGGACGCCUAGUUUGGUAAGCUGAUGAACUUAAUGAGCUAACUUCUUCUUACCAUCCUUAACGUGAGCAAUACUACUCAUAGACAACCUACUGAGGGCAUCUGCCACUACAUUGGCCUUGUCCAGAUAAUAUAGAACACUUAUGCCAUAGUCUUUCAAUAACUCUAACCACCUUCUCUGAUGCAAGUUCAGGUAUUUCUAUGAAAACACAUACUGUAGGAUUUUGUGGUCUGUGAAUACAUCAACAUGCACCCCAUACCAAAAGUGCCUCCAAAUCUUUAAGGAAAAAAUAACAGCUGAUAAAUCAAGAUCAUGGAUAGGAUAAUUCUUUUUAUAGGGUUUAAGCUAUCUAGAGGCAUAGGCCACAACCUUACCCCUCUGUAUCAAAACACACCCCAAGCCAACUCUAAAAGCAUCACAAUAAACAACAAAUCCAUCUGAACCGUCGGGUAAAGUCAAAACUGAGGCUGUAGUGAGUCAAGUCUUUAACUUAUGAAAACUCUUCUCACAAGAGCCUGAUAAUUGAAAUUUAACUUUCUUCUGAGUCAAUCUGUACAUGGGGUAUGCAUUAGACAAAAAUCCUUCAACAAACCAUCGGUAAUAGCCAUCCAAACCCAAGAAACUCCUGAUAUCUGAUGGAGAGAUGGGUCAGGGCCAGUUUAUCACUACUUCGGUCUUUUGAGAAUCAAUGCUAAUGCCAUCAUCGGAAACUAUGUGACCAAGAAAAGAUAUUGACCUUAUCAAAAAUUUGCAUUUACUGAAUUUGGCGAACAACUGAUGCGCUCUGAGAGUCUGCAAUACUAUUCUGAGAUGGUCUGUAUGGUCAUUUUCACUACGGGGGUGACAAGAAUAUCAUAGAUGAAAACUAUGAUGAACAUGUCCAAGUACUGCUUGAACACACGGUUCAUCAAGUUUAUGAAAGCUAUUGGGCAUUGGUAAGACCAAAUGACAUGACUAGAAACUCGAAGUGACCAUUCUGGGUUCUAAAAGCUAUUUUUAAAAUGUCAUAUUCUCUGACUCUGAGCUGAUGAUAGUCGCAUCUGAGGUCUAUCUUAGAAAAGUAACUGACACCCUGAAGUUAGUCAAACAAGUCAUCAAUUCUAGGAUAUGGGUAUUUAUUCUUAAUGGUGAGUUUGUUCAACUGACGGUAGUCUAUACACAUUCUAAGAGAACCGUCUUUCUUUCACAUGAAUAGAAAUGGUGCACCCCAAAGGGAUACACUGGGCCUGAUGAACCCUUUAUCUAAGUGGUCCUUCAACUAUUAUUUUAACUCCUUAAGUUCAGCUGAAGCCAUUCUGUAUAGCGGAAUAAAGAUGGGAUUAGUAUAAAAAAGAAGGUCUAUUCCAAAGUCAAUUUCCCUUUCAGGAGAUCUUCGGGAAACACAUUGGGAAAUUCACUUGCGACUGGAACUAACUCAAGAUUAGGAGUCUCGGAACUAGAGUCUUUGACUCACACCAAAGUGAUAGACACACCCCUUGGAUAUCAUUUUUCUUGCUCUAAGGUAUGAAAUAAGUUGACCCCUAAAUGCUGAAGUACUACCCAACCAUUCUAGGAUAAGUUCAUUCUAGAACUGAAAAUAGAUAACUCUAUUUCUACAAUCAACUGAUGCAUAGCACGUAUUAAGCCAAUCCAUGCCGAGAAUGAUGUCAAAAUCCGUCAUCUCUAACUCUAAUAAGUCUGCUGAUGUAACUUUUUGAGACACCAUAACCGGAUAGUUCCUGUAUAUCCAUCGAGCUAUAAUAGACUUACCCACUGAGGUAGAGACUUAGAAAGGCUCUUUUAUGAUUUCGGGACUGACUUCAAAGUUGACGGGUAUACAAGGAGUUACAAAAGACAAAGAAUAUCCUAGAUCUAGCAAAUUAUAAACAUAUAAAUGGUAAACUUGUGACAUACCAGUGACGACAUCAGAAGAACUUUCCUGAUCCUAUUGAGAAUGGAGUGCAUAGAGCCUAUUUGGGCGCUGCCCACUGGUGGCACUGGAAGUUGCACCCUACUGAGAUAGGUGACUGGGUUGAGCUGGGGGACGACACAUACGUCGUUGCCAGCCCUGCAGACACUCGAAUAAUUUCUGCCACUCUUCUGACAAGAAGGAUUUGUCUGGGCACUGUUCACACUACCUUGAGAUUUAGAGCCUGGGGCUCUAUCUAUAUUACCAUUUUUGAAUUUAGGCACUGGAGAACUGGCUGAGGAUAGAGCUAGGACUGAAGAUUUUGGGCGGAACUGAGGACGAUUACCACCCUCUGACUUAGGCUAAGCAAAACUAAAGCUACUUGUUCUAGCCCUCUUAUUUUCCCUCUCUUCACCUUAGUUUUCUAUUCCUUAAUUUGCUCAGAAUGGACCAUCAACCUAGCCAAGUCCAUCUCCUUAAUCAACAUUGUUGUCCUACACUCUUUGACCACACUAUCAGACACACCAGAUACGAACUUGAUCAUCUUAGACCUACUAUCAGCUACCGCAUAAGGAGCAUACCUAGCCAACUGAGUAAACUUCAGGGAAUACUGUUUCACACUCAUGUUUCCAUGGUUUAGAUUAAUGAACUCUAGCACCUUAGCUUCUCUCAACGCCGACAGAAAGAACCUAUCUAAAAAUACAGUAGCAAAUUUCUCCCAUUCUAUAGGCCCUGCAUUUGCACCCUUAUCUACUUUUCACUUCUUAAACCAUGUAUGAGCCAUAUCGUGUAACUGAUAGGAAGCUAACUCAAUACUCUCACUAGCAGUUACCCCCAUAAUGUCUGUUACCUUCUACACCAUUUUAAGGAAUUCCUGUGGGUCCUCUUCAAACUUAGACCCUAAAAAUGAAGGAGGGUUCAUUCGGGUGAAGUACCAAAUUCUAGCUGUAGCAAUAUUGGCCACUGGGUUGGACUGAAUAGCAACUGGUCGAAAAUUUUGAGUUGGUGAAGAAUGGGCUAGAGUGGUGAAAGCUUCUCUGAAUUCUACGUUAGAAACGUGCUCAUUCAGGGGAUCUUCUUGAACUGGCGAAGGUGUUGGCUGGUUCCAGUUCUUCUUCCGUUGGUCUUUCUGGGGGGCAUGUUCUAUAAACAGAAGGAAAAGUUGGAUUAGACAGAGAGUUUAAUUUGAGAUAAUGCUCACUUGUAUGAGGUAAGAAGUGAAAGAAGGGAACUUUUUCCUAAAAACGCCUCAUAGCCUCUUGUCCAUAGGUGUGGUGAGCUACACACCCAUGUAUAAGACUCUAUUUGAUGCGGCUUUCAGACUCCCUGGGACUCUUUAGAACCUUAGGCUCUAAUACCAAGUUUAUAAUGCCCCGAGACUAUACCCUGGGCAUCACACGGUGCUUACGACCCCGAAGGAACACAAGUUAACCAUGAAUGGUACUUACUAUGAGCACUAAAUAUAAUAUUAAAAUAUAUAUGCGAAAAAAAUCUAAAAAUGCCAUAAGGUUCCUAAAAUAUUAAAAUAAUAGCUGAGUAUAACAGAUAAUAACAUCAGAAAACUGAAUAACUAACUAUGCUAGUCUGAAAGCCUCUAACUGCCUGAAUAUGGAGUUGAUGGGACAAACCCCCAACUAACUUCAAUUGAAAUAACUACUGAACUGCUGAAAUAGAUAAACUCUAUCCUCGAAAUAUGAGGACUCACCACUAUAACUGUUGUUGAUAGCCUAAGCUUCUAAGUACGGUCAGGAACCUGAGCGUUCGAACCUAUGAUAUGAGACAUCAUACCACAAAAAAAAGUAUGCAAUUAGUACGUGGAAUAUAUUGGUAUUAUAAGUGAGGUAAGGUUGAUGUACACGGGUUCAUAUGUAUGAGAUGAUAACUGAAUGAACGAACAUCAUGAAGUAACAGGAUGAAAGUACAUGUAAAACUGUAACAGCUGAACAUACUGAACAUGUAAUACUGCGUACAUAGUUAUACAUCGUGUAUCUGAGAUUAUACUGAAAUUGAAUACUAAAUACUUAUGGUUGAGUAACUGAUCACUGAUAGCCAUGAUUUUGUAGAACUGACUGUGUUCUUUACUGAAUACUGAGACUGAAACUGUUACUGUGGGAAUGUUCAUCCAACUAACAUACCCCGAUAUAAACUGAUUUGAGUUGGAAGGGUGUUAAGACCUUACCAAGGGAUACUAACAAUGUUGUGUCAACCCUAAUCUGGUAGAAAAACUCAUGAAUAUGUAUAUGAUUACGUCAACCCUACUCUAGCAGGAGGAUGAUUUACCCUACGCUGGUUACGUAGUUUUGUAACUCAGGGAUUGCUACUAAGGGUCAAACACUAACUAACAGGAAUGUCCCCAUCCCAGGGUUCUCUCAGUUCUGAAUCCUACUCCCAACUCAAAGAUACUGAUCACUAGACUGUACUAAGCUUGAUUGAACUGACCCUGAUCGUGUUGACUUACUAAACUGGACUGAGUUUACUAAGUUCUGUUAACUGACUGAGUACUACUGUUCUUGACCUUUACUGGGACUAUUCUAUAACUACUAGAACUAAGUAAACAGCUAGAUUUAGGGUAAUAAAUUCCUCCAGGACUCGAUAGCAUAAUUGAUAAACUCAUAUCACAACUUUAACAACACAACAAUAAGUUACCAUGCAUAAUUUACUCAUAUGGACAGUUAUCAAACAUGUGGGGGAAUGGUUAAUGCACAUGAUAAUAAAUAACACAUAAGCAUCAUGACUACAACUUAAACUUGCGAUUUCAAGGGUUUUAACAUAGGAAUCACGUUAGUCAACAUACAUGUUAUCUUAUGUUCAUGAAACUUAUAAUUAAAUCUUCAAUUGAAACCCAUACAACAACACAAACAUGAAUACAACCCAAUUUGCGCAUUUAAAUCAUGAAUCUAAAAAGUUAUAGUUUUAAAAAGGUUCUUGAACUCCAAGGGUGGAAGGAAACCCAAGGAUUAACACCUAACAUACCUUGAUUAAUGAUUUUAUGAGAAUUGUGGUGAAUUCUUAGGACAUGGAAUUGAACUUGAUGAAACUAGGGCUUUGUUCUUGAGAGUAUUUGUGAGAUAAUGAGUUAAUUUUGCCCUUUGGGAGGUUUAAUUUCAUGUUAUGGCUGAGUAUUGUAAGGGUAAAAUGACCCAAUUACCCCCACAAAUCUGUAACUUAAUACACAAAACUUGCCUAGUUCUGCAAUAGGCGAUGCGCUGCAUCGAUGGUGUCGAUGCAAUUGCUGACAUGCCACAUCAAUGUUGUUGACGUGACAGCCAAUACGAUGCAUCGAGAUCACAUUGGCUUGCUGUUUUAGCCAUCCAAACAUGACUCAAACGAUGUUCGCAAAUUUUAAAACUCACCCAAGAUGACCUGUUGACAUCCCUGAUCAUGAAUUAACUUAAAAAUCGACAUUCUAAGGUCGUAGGGAUCGAAAAUAAGAUCAUCCAAUUACAAAGGCGAAAAUGACUCUAAGUCUUAACACAACUGAAUUUUUCUAAGUUGGGACCCCUUAUUACAAGCUAUAUGGGACUAAAUUGAACUAGAACUUUGUAGGGUCUUACACAUGGCUAAGGUAAUGGUCUUGGCAAAACAACCCAUGAUCGCAUGAUAGUGGGAGAACUAGUCCAUGCCCAGUAUCACAUUAAAAUCCAGCAUAUAUAGAAUAAUAAGAUCAGUAUAAGUAUCAACAUCACUAACUAUCAUAACAUAUGAUUUAAACACUCGAUCCAUUACUAAAGAAUUACUCAUGGGAGUAGAUACGUGUAAUGACACAAAUAAUAAAUCACUAGUCAAAUCCAAUUGUGGUGCAUAGUAAGCAGAUGUAUAAGAAUAAGUGUAUCCAGGAUCAAAUAAAGCAAGAGCCGACUUGCAGCACACUAAAAUCGUACCUGUCACAAAACAUCCAAAGUCUUAGCCUCGAGUCUAGCAGGUACUACAUACAACUAGCCACACACGUCACCUGACUGGGUACUUGACCGACCUUAUGUCCUACCUGCCUGCGUACUACCUCGAGCACUAUGGUAACCACCCCUCUGACCUUGCGAACCAUCUCUACUUGAGAGGUAAACUGCCCUAAUAGGAUUCACACCUGGUCUGAAACAACCAUCAUCUCAGGACUAGGACAAUCUCACAAAAAAUGACCCAAAAGCUCACAAGUAAAACAAGAGUCACGAAUAGAACCAGAACUCACAGAUCUGACCGAACCGUAGUAACCACCACAUAUAUCAUGAAUCAAAAAUGAACCCCCUCUAGGACUGAUCACCGCCUUUAAUAGGGAGACCACUAGCUCCAAACUUACCUCCGUCCAUAGUCUGAAGAGCUUUCUUAACUAGUCGGCAAGGCUGACUCUGAGGAUAAGAAGACAGAUGUGGAGGAUACCCAACAUGAGAACCACCACCCCUAAAGCGAGAACCACUACGACUCCUACCAAAUCUACCCUGGAAUCCAGGCCUCUUAUCACGGCCCUCACGACUCUCCUUGUGCAUCUCCUCCAUCACUCUAGCAUGAUCAGAAACCUUAAUAAAAGUCCUACCCGCAAUAACUAGACUCUGAGUAGCCAUUCGAAUAGGGAGUCUCAACCCUCUAAAAAACCAUCAAACUCUCUUAUACUCAGUGUCUAAAAUAGAAGUCGCAUGUUUGACCAACUUAUGAAAAUAGGUGUCAUACUUAGCGACUAUCAUGGAGCUUGGCUCCAAUCUGGAGAUCUGAUCGCUUAGACGAUUUCUAAGGCUGCACAACAUAUAAUUAUUCAAGAAUAUCUUGGAGAACUGAGUCCAUAAAAAGAGAGAAGAUCCAACUGCUAGAAUUCGAGAAACCCCUCCACCAGUGACAAACAGACAAAUCCAACUAAAAUAUGGUGUAAUCUACACCACUAGUCUCAAGAAGGACAAAACCACGAAGCCUAUCCUCAUAAGCAGUAAGAAACUCAAAUGCAUCCUCUCUGGAAACCAAAAAACCUAGGCGGAGCCAACCUAAAAAAUCUACCCAAUAUUUUUUGCUUAUCGACAGACAUAGCAGGCUAGGUCACAACUAGUGGCAUAGCUACCGAAUGAACGACUACCAGCACAGAAGGAAUCACAACACUGGGAGUAGGUACAGGCUGCGCCCCGAUCCCAAUAGUUUGAGAACUGUUAGAUGAAACACCACCAACCAUAAUCAGUAUCUGAAUCAGGGUAUUUCUAAGCAAUGAAAAAGGAAUGAAGCAUAGUGGAGCCUGGGCUGGUCCCUAGCCCACCCCUGGCUAUGGCAGAGGAAAUAGCUCAGGUACAAUGAUAAAUUUUAGGGAAGAUGACCUAUCCUGAUUCCUAGCUGGGGACAAAUCACGAGGCUAUCCUCGACCUCUAGUUCAUCUAUGAAUAGGAGCCAGAUUCCUGGGCCCGACCCUCAUCUUGCAUAGAGGUAGCGCGUCUCCUCGGCAUCUGUAAAAGAUAAAAGUCAAGAAAAUAUACUACAAACCAAUUCAGACUCUUAGCACGAUAUGAAUAAAAAAAGUGAAGGACUUCUAAGAAUGUCACAUAGUGUCCCGACGAUAGGAAACUGACAUCAAUGUUUCGAUCCGCAAGACUCUAUUAGAGACUUGCUCUUCUACUAAUAAUACCGAUGAAACCUAAGCUCUGAUACCAAUUUAUCACAACUCAAUUCACGAAUCGUGAUGGCACCUACUAAACCCACCAGUAGGCAAGACAACACUAUAACCCAAAGCUAAGGCAACAGGUUAUUUUGGUAGAAACGUCCGACAAGGGCCAUAAUAGAUGAACACCACAACAAACAAUGAUGUUCCACAACAGACAAGCAAUUAUGGAUACCAAUUCCUAUGACCUAGUAAUAUUUGUACAAGAGCAUCUAUGUUCGAUAAUAGGAAAUACAACUCAAAGUCUAAAUAGUCUUAUACAUUUGUAUCAAAUACAAAAGGCUGAAUAAAGAUAGGAGGGGAACGGGCGACUCGAACUCCAAGAGCUCACCCUGUCUUUGGAAGAUCAACACAGCACGAUCUCAACUUAACGGUAGCAACUAAAACUCGGAUCUGAACCAAAAAGGUACAAAAGUGUAGUAUAAGUACCAAAACAACGGGUACUUAAUAGGCAUCACUGGCCGACUGAGCUAAAUUAUGAUAUAAAGUGACAUAAAGUAAGACAAUAACUAUAAGUAAAGGUAUAUAAUCAAACAUGAAUAGUCUCCAUCAUCACUGUACAAUAUAACUAAUCAACUAGAACAAUAAUACGAUAUCUCAUGUCAAAAUAUACCACAACCAUCAUACAUAAUGAAUAACUGAUUUGGAAGUGUAAAGAAACAUAUGUAUAAUUACAAUUGCAUAAAUUCCAAGUUUAACGUGCAUACCAUCAUUAGAGCAUAAAGCAAAAGAACUUACCAUGACGUCUCAUACCACUGAAAAGUACACCCAAAAGAACACAAAGUAAAGAACUCAUUAUGACUUCCCAUACCACUGGAGAGUGCACCAAUAGAUCAAUUCAUCAACGCAUCAAGAAUAUAAAUAUACACAACCAACUCACAUUUACUACGAUUUGCAUAUUUCCAUUAACGGCCAUUUGACAAGUCCCAUAAUCAUCAUCAAUUAUCUUAAUUUGACACAACGAAACCAAUAUAAUCAUAACCAUAGUUAUAUAGUCAUUUAGACCUCUAACUCAUUAAUAUACUCAAUCUAGUCUAUAUCAACUAACCACCAUUUAUUAUUAAGCUACUACUUUACUAGUCAUCAUAAGGCCUCCAAUCAUUAGCCUAACCGAUUCUGUAUAGACCUUCUUCAUGAAAUAGAAACUAAUUAUCAUUAUUAAAUAGCCAACUUUCAUAUCUAGUCAAGAUGCACAACUAAACCAUAAUCACCAUUUAACCCAAAGUUCCUAGUUACCAUAGGUAUACUAGCCAUCAUAUAUUACAUAUUAUCAAACACAUUUAUCUAUCUAUUAUUCAACAUCUCUCAUUUGUUAAUGUUAGGUCUAUUAUUAUCAUUAGCCAUUUAACAAGCAUGGCUACUAAUUUCUACAUUUAAUUAAACGAGGUUCACCAACUAGUAUUCUAGGAAUUGUAGCCAUCAAGUAAUAUAACCACUUUAUAUAAACAAUUAUAACUCACUCCACUAGGUGAAAUCCCAUAAUUUAACCAUUUGUUCAAGACAAAUAUAUUUAUUAGGUGAUUUCUUAAUUCUACACAUGAUUACACUUAUCAAAUUAGUCUUGACUCACUAGUCCACAAUUUCUACUUCUAUUCACUAUUAAGUAUUAACAAGAGUCACGCCACUUAACUAGUGAUUAAUGAUAGAGAAUUAUAGACGCUUUCCAAGAAAAACAUCAUAUCCUACAUGGACACAAGGACUUUACCAUACAAUGGAACAACCAUGCAUAUACCUAUAUUUUCACACAUUCUUACCAUACAUACAUCACCAUAACAUCAAUAUAUCCUUCGGGUUUAUCGAGCAUCACCACAACAUCAAUAUUUUUUUUGGAUUAUCGGACAUCAUCACAUCAUCAACAUAUCCUAUGAAUUUACCAGGCAUCAUUAUAACAUCAAUACCUCUUCCAAAUUUACCGAGAAUCAUCACAUCAUCAAUAUAUCAUUUGAAUUCACCAAGCAUCAUCAUAACAUCAAUACCUCUUUUGAAUUUUCUGAGAAUCAUCAUAUCAUCAACAUAUCCUCCGAAUUCACUGGGCAUCAUCAUAACAUCAAUAUAUCCACCGGAUUCACCGGGCAUCCUUACAUCAUCAACAUAUCCUUCAAAUUCACCUGGCAUCAUCAUAAAAUCAAUACAUCUUUCAGAUUUAUCAGGCAUUAUCAUAACAUCAACAAAUCCUCCAAAUUCACCGGGCAUUAUCAUAACAUUAAUAUAUUUACCAUGACAACAAUACACACGCAUACACACACACACACACAUAUAUAUAUAGCCAAAUUAAUAACAAGUUCAAACCCACGAAGAAUAGAAUGGAAAAGAAGUAAGAAGGAUAUAUCAACACACAUUGCAUUUAUUAUCAAUGCAAUAUGUUUUUAGGUGCAUGAGCAUGUAUAUACAUAUGACAAGAACACUUUGUAUAUUACCGGACUUAACAUGAUUAUUAGCAUGGUCAAUAACUAGCCAUGACUAUACUUUCUAGAAUCUUCCUUUAUAUGCAUGAUUCAUAAUACAAUGAUUAAGGAACUCUUUUGCACAAAUAUUAGUUUAGUCAUUAGUCUUGAACAUAAUAUGUGUAAUAGCAUAAUCCAAGGUUCGCAUAACAAUAACCCAAAAAUUCAAGUGAUAGCAAAGUCAUAGGCUCAAUUUACAAGACCUUCCAUUGCUACUCAACAAUUUCAAGAAGAUGACAAUCAACAUACACAUUAUUUUCAGAGCAACAUUAUUUAUAACCUCUCUACCGAUUCUAACCAUCACAAAAAGUAUAUUCUAGGCGUUUAACACAUAUCUAGGUCACUAACAAUUUACAUUAUCCAAACUUAAUGCGGUCACGUUCCGCUUCUAAUGUCUCAACAUAUCCGUUCAAGUCUAACUUCUAUCGGAGACUAGACUAAUUCAUCUACAUCAUGUCUUAGAGGUUUAACAAUCCAUACUAGUUCUAUGGUAUAAUUCUUCCUUAAGUAUUACUUUUAGUAUAUUCAAGGUAUAUAAGGCAAAUUUCACAACUAAACAUAUCUAAGGUCAAAUUACUCUUAGUGUGAGUGAAAAAGGUCGCUCCCAUCUAAUUACAACAACUAGAGCAUUCUCAUACUAUUUAUGAGAUAACAAGUCUAACUAUCCAAGGUUCUAAGCUAUAACUCAAUCACCACACUAUACAGGUUCAAUGGCCUAAGUAGUAAAACUGAUCCCAAAUAUACCAUUUAUCGUACUAAUGCCUAGAACUCACCUGAAAAUUAUACUACAAUAAAGCUCAAUCUAACAAAAGUAGGUCUAACCUACCUUGAAUCCAAAUAUAGACUACAAAUCAACAAUCUUCGCUUUCCUUUUUCUCGAAGCUUCUCCAAGGAUCCACGCUAUCAAAAACAUAAUCUAUGCAUUAUUACGAGAAUAAAAAUACCCAUAUUGCAUCAUUGUUCUUUAGAUCCAAAACGACACCAAAAACUUUUAAGUGGGUCCCAAAUACGGAAAUCGAGUUUUCGAGACCAACCCAACGUUCAAAUACCAUUAGGAAGUUAAAAACCUCAAUAAAGUUGUGCAAAACAAUCAUAUUUGGGCUAAAAUCAAGCCUCAAGCCAUUUGGAUUUUUGGUAAAAAAUUCAAGCAAUUAGAGUAUGAAAUGGAAAGAUUCUUACCUUAAAUCCGUUGUUAAUCGCAAAUAUAAAUUUCAAUCUAGCUUCUAAUUCACCCCGAAGACUCAAUUUGAAGUCAACAUAUCAUUAUAGGGAAGCUAGGGUUCAAAGAGAGAUGAAAAAAUCCCAAAUAUCGACCAAGGGGCCUUUGUAUACGCGCAUAAAUGGGGCCCACAAGGUUAAAACUUAUUUUUGACCUUCCGAACUCAUUUGGAUUUCGUUUUUUGUAGACGAACUAUGUAAUCCCACUAAUUUUGAUGUUCCGGAUGCAUUGGUGAAAUAGGAUUUUCCAUCCGAAUUCAUUUAAUAUAUUUAUGGGUCCCACACUCAUAUCUUCUGAUUUUUUUACUUUUCAACCAAUGGGUCAAAAUGAGCUCAGAUGCAGUGGGAUACGAACCAAGGGUCUACCUAACAUAAAAUCAAUAUUUUAGAGUUGUUGGCGCAGUCGAAAUUUGCAUCCAAAAUUAUUUUACUUAAGUUUUCGCUCGGCGACCAUUUGGGAUCAACGAAGACUUCUAAAUGGAAAAUUGGCUCUAAAAAUCAAACGAACUACUUGGUAAUCGAACUAUCAGUUCCAACAAAUCAUAAAUAACUUGGGGAAGAUAUGAAAAAACUCUAACGGUGAGAAUAAUAGAGAAUACAAAAAUGACUUGAAGGGUCAUUACACAAUUAUGUUUAAUGGAGAAAAAAUAAUGAAGUUAAUUUGACAUAAGGCAAAAUAUUAAUUCAGAUUGCUAAAGACUUUAAUUUAACAACUUUUAAUAAAAUAAAAAUGAGCCGAGUUUUAGUGCAUGCAUUUUCUUGAAAAACUAAAAGAAAGUCUAUAAUAUACUCUAAAAGAAUUAUUUUAAAACUUACAAAAACUUUUACUCCCUUCUGUUUAAUUUGUUUGUCUGAUUUUAACUUAGUAAAAGAUUUUAAAAGUAGCGAAGAUUUUUAAAUUUUGUGAUCUUACACUAAAGAAAUUUAAAAGGGAUCAAAAUUAGGAUUAUUUAAAAUAAAACCGAAAUCGAUAACUCAAGUGCAAAAUUAACUUUAGAUUGUUGAUAAUAAGUUAUCGGAUUAAUGGUUGGUAAAUAAAUUAAAAUUUAUAGUUAAUGACUUAUCGAUGCAGGCAGAUUACUCAAUUUUCUCAUCAGACAAAUCGUUAACCUGUUAAGAAUUGUCAUAUUUACAUAUUUACCCCUAGUUAUCUAAAGUAUCUCUUGCACAAAAAGUAGAACCUCAAUCAGUAUUCUAUUUACUUCUUAGAUUAGGAAAUAAACAACUUCUUGUAACUUCUAACUAUAAAGUGUAGUAGGUCUCCCUAAAAAAUAAAUUAAACCUGAAAUAAAUUCUUAAUUGAAAAGAUAAAUUAUUCUUGACAAUAUGAAGGACCACAACAAAAAUGAAACAACUCCAAUGUAUUCUUCACAAAGUUUAAUAUAAAACUGAAAUUGAUAUAUAAUUUAAAAUUUUAGAAAUUGUUAAACUAUCUUUAACUAAUAUAAUAUAACAAAAACAAACAAAGAUUAAGAGUAAAAAAUAGAAAAAAAAUUAGAAAUUUAAAUGUUAAUAUAGCUUGGGCUCGAGCUUAGCACGGGCCAAAUGACACUAGAUAUGGUAGAAACAUUAUAUUAUGAAGAACCAAAAUAACUAGAAAAUAGAGUGUAUAUGGUAACAACUAACAUUAAGGGGUCGUUUGGUGUAAUGUAUUAGAACAAACAAUCCCGGGAUAAAAAUUUUGAUUGCUUGUUUGUUGUUAAGUUUGGGAUAACUUAUCCCGGUAUUAACAAAUAGUACUGGAAUAAGUUAUCCCAUCUUUUUGAAGGUAUAACUAAUCCCAUUAUGAUUUGUCUUGGGAUAAAAUCAUGAAAUGACAAAAUUACCCACAAAAUCUUUUGAUUAUCACUUGCACUGUGUGACUAACUUUGUUUUAAGAUUAAGUUAGACCUCCAUCUGCUAAUAUUAAGCUAUCUAGAAGAGUAUGUAUUAGUUUUUCUCCGUCUGUCAUCUUACAGCAAUAUUUGGGAGGAAUUAAGACAUUGUUGUUGCUGUCUUCUAAUAAAAGUUGUCAGUUUGUUGCUAAGCAUAAAAUAGGAUGAAGAUUUUGACACUAGGAUUUUUCUCAAUUAUGUUUGUGCAUUCAAAUGCCUCAUCAAACUCCACCGUUUCAAAAAAGAAAAUUAUCAAUUGAAGGAUUCUUCUUAAUGGUCAUAAAAAAACUUCUUUGUUAAUAUAAUUUAUCUUUCAUGUACGUGUACCACCUUUACAUGAUCAUACAUCCUAACUUAGCAAACUACAGUACUCCAGCAAAAAUAGCAUGUCGUAAUGCCUUACGCAGACUCUUCUUCCAUUAGCCGUGUAAAUAGUACUUCCUCCGUUUCAAAGAGAAAUACCUACUUUGACUUGACACAAAUUGUAAGAAAAUAAAGAAGACUUUUGAAUCUUAUGGCCUUAAAUUAUAGUUGUGUCAAAUGUAAUAAAAUGCCCUUUAAUCUUGUGGUCCUAAACAUGUCAUGAGGAAAGUUGAAAUUAAAGUAUUGCCAAAAAAGGAAAGGGGUUAUUCUUUUUGAAACGGACUAAAAAGAAAAGUCGCUUUUUGAAACGGGAGAGUAUUCUUUAGGUGUUUGUUAACACACAAAAAAAAUCAUAAAAAUGUAUACAUAAAAAUUAAUAAGCUAAAUAAAGUGAAGGGUAUUUUUGUAAACAAAGAAUAUAUCCUUAAAAGGAAAGUAAUGCACAUUAUUUUUAGUAACACAAAUCAAACAGCCAUCAAAAAUUAAUAUCAGGUUAACUAAUCCCACGACAACUAUCCCAGCAUAACUAAUCCCAGCAUAAGUUGUCUUCAAACCAAACCACCCCUAACAGUGAAAUGCAUAAGCAUAACCCAUCUUUAUAUACCUUUGAUGUUCUUUUUAUUUCUUUUAACACCAUUAAUUAGCAAAAUAAGGUAAUUCCUUUUAUGUCAAGUCACAACUUGCAAUAUUUAAAAGGGUAUAGGAUAUGGUCUGCUGUUUUCUUUUUCAUGACCACACACGCUUAUGGAAGCAAACAACAAAGACUGUCAACCAAGCAAUUAAGCCAAAAAGUAUGGUCAUUGGUCAAUAAAAAGGCAAAUGCUAGACAUCUUAGUUCCAUCCAACCAUAUUCACUUCUAUUUUACCACUACAUUAACAACUUAUAAACUAGAAAAAUGUCAAGAAUCUUGCACAAGAUUGAAGAGAAGCUACAUAUACACCACCACAAACAUGGAGAUGAUCCAGCAACAGUUCAAAACAAACCAAAAGAGACCCAUGAGGUUAAUGAUGAAAGCAAUGUAGAUAAGAAAGAGGAUAUUGAU